UGAGCAUUUUUGCAGGUCUGCCUGUCCGUUGGGGAUGGAGGUCGACAUAUAUAGGAGUCUCCCUAACAACAAGUAGUAAUGCUAUUCCUUUACCCUGCUUGGUCAUAGCACGGUAGUGGGAGCUGCCAGUUUCACAUGUUUUAACUCUGUCAGAGCACUUUGAAAAAGUGGUCUGUGGUAUCUGGCUCUCGAGAUUCGGAGAACGAUGCCUCUUCGAUUUUUGAGAGAGCAAUCAUGUUGGGGGUCUGACUCUCGAGAUUCGGAGAGCAGUGUCUCUUCGAUUUUUGAGGAAGUAAUCAUGUUGGGAGUCUGGCUCUCGAGAUUCGGAGGGCGGUGCCUCUUCGAUUUUGGAGCAAGCAAUCUUGUUGGGAGUGUUGUCUCGAAUGUGAGUAAAGGUUGGACAUGUUUGCUAGUCUACCUUGCCACGAAGCACAAAGGUUGACACAUAGGGACUUUCCAAUUAUCCAGCAAUGGUACUGUUCCUUUACCCUCUCUUCGAUUUUGAGAAAGUAGUCAUGUUGGGAGUCUGGCUCUCGAGAUUCGGAGGACGGUGCCUCUUCGAUUUUGGAGCAAGCAAUCUUGUUGGGACUGUUUUCUCGAAUGUGAGUAAAGGUUGGGCAUGUUUGCUAGUCUACCUUGCCACGAAGCACAGAGGUUGACACACAGGGACUUUCCAAUUAUCCAGCAGUGGUACUGUUCCUUUACCCUUGUGGGUAAUAAUAUGGUAGCUAGACCUUCAAAAUUUAUGUGUCUAAACUUUGUUAGUGCUGUUUCUUUGCUAUUCUUUUACCUUUCUUGGUCAGAGCAAUGUAGUGGGAGCUGCAAGCUUCACGUGCUCAACUUUGGCAGAGAACUUUGGCAAAGUGAUAUGUGGUACCCAUGAGUUAUUGUUGCGUGUGGGAAGUGGGUGAUUGAACAGUAAGAUUCAUGUGCUUUCUACUUCACCAGAAGUCUUCGACAGAAUGCCCAUAAUUUCCGCAAAGCUGAGUGUGCGUGUGACAGGUGCUGACAAGGCUAGAAAAGUAGGUGCCUCUUUGAUUUCUGAGAUCGGCCCUCGUGGUCUCUGAGCAGCCCAGCUUUUGAGAAAGCGAGCGCCUCUUCGAUUGAUUCGGAGAACGGUGCCUCACCGAUUUUUGAGAAAGCAAUCAUGCUGGGGGUCUGGCUCUCGAGAUUCGGGGAGCAGUGUCUCUUCGAUUUUUUGAGAAAGUAAUCAUGUUGGGAGAGUGGCUCUCGAGAUUCGGAGGGCGGUGCCUCUUCGAUUUUGGAGCAAGCAAUCUUGUUGGGAGUGUUUUCUCGAAUGUGAGUAAAGGUUGGGCAUGUUUGCUAGUCUACCUUGCCACGAAGCACAGAGGUUGACACACAGGGACUUUCCAAUUAUCCAGCAAUGGUACUGUUCCUUUACCCUCUCUUCGAUUUUUAAGAAAGUAGUCAUGUUGGGAGUCUGGCUCUUUAGAUUCGGAGGACGGUGCCUCUUCGAUUUUGGAGCAAGCAAUCUUAUUGGGAGUGUUUUCUCGAAUGUGAGUAAAGGUUGGGCAUGUUUGCUAGUCUACCUUGCCACGAAGCACAGAGGUUGACAUACAUGGACUUUCCAAUUAUCCAGCAGUGGUACUGUUCCUUUACCCUUGUGGGUAAUAAUAUGGUAGCUAGACCUUCAAAAUUUAUGGGUCUAAACUUUGUUAGUGCUGUUUCUUUGCUAUUCUUUUACCCUUCUUGGUCAGAGCGAUGUAGUGGGAGCUGCAAGCUUCACGUGCUCAACUUUGGCAGAGAACUUUGGCAAAGUUAUCUGUGGUACCCAUGAGCUAUUGUUGCGUGUGGGAAGUGGGUGAUUGAACAGUAAGAUUCAUGUGUUUUCUACUUCCCCAGAAGUCUUUGACAGAAUGCCCAUAAUUUCCGCAAAGCUGAGUGUGCGUGUGACAGGUGCUGACAAGGCUGGAAAAGUAGGUGCCUCUUCGAUUUCUGAGAUCGGCCCUCGUGGUCUCUAGGGAGCCCAGCUUUUGAGAAAGCGAGCGCCUCUUCGAUUUCUGAGAUCGGCCUUCGUGGUCUUUGAGCAGCCCAACUUUUGAGAAAGCAAACGGCUCUUUGAUUUCUGAGAUCAACCCUCGUGAUCUCUAAGCAGCCCAGCUUUUGAGAAAGCAAACGCCUCUUCGAUUUCUGAGCAGGCGCCUCUUUGAUUUCUGAAGCUCCGUCGAGUGCAGAUUUUUAUAGGGGCUGGCAUUAAGUUCCAAAGCACACUUGAAUCUCCACCAGUAGAAGCUUCAUUCUUGCACUUCUAAGAUCUUGAUUUGUCCGACCUCUUCUCUCUUCAACACCUUUGAAAAUGUCUGGCCCUUCCGACCGUCGUUUUGACUUGAACCUUGUUGAAGAGGCAGCCCCGCCUUCUCCAGACAACAUAUGGCGCCCAUCCUUUGUCUCCCCAACUGGUCCUCUUACCGUUGGGGAUUCCGUGAUGAAGAAUGAUAUGACCGCUGCGGUGGUGGCCAGGAACCUUCUCACUCCCAAAGAUAACAGACUACUUUCCAAACGGUCUGAUGAGAGUUAGCUGUUAAGGAUUCGCUGGCUCUCAGUGUUCAGUGUGCAGGUUCUGUGUCUAAUAUGGCACAACGCCUAUUUUGCUCGAACCCGCCAAGUUGAAUCAUUGGCGGCUGAAGUGAUGAGUCUCAAACAGGAGAUUAGAGGGCUCAAGCAUGAGAAUAAACAGUUGCACCGGCUCGCACAUGACUAUGCUACAAACAUGAAGAGGAAGCUUGACCAGAUGAAGGAAACUGAUGGUCAGGUUUUACUUGAUCAUCAGAGAUUUGUGGGUUUGUUCCAAAGGCAUUUAUUGCCUUCGUCUUCUGGGGCUGUACCGCGUAAUGAAGCUCCAAAUGAUCAACCUCUGAUGCCUCCUCCUUCUAGGGUUCUGUCCAGUACUGAGGCUCCAAAUGAUCCCCCUCCGGUGCCUUCUCUUUCUGGGGCUCUACCGACUGCUGAGACUUCUCCUAAGCAACCUUUGUGAAGGCUCCCUCUUGUGUGUUUAUUUUGACUCAUGUAUAUGUACAUAUUUGUAGCUUAUCGGGGAUAUCAAUAAAUAAGCUUUCCUUCAUUUCAACGUAUUGUGUUAAAUACACCAAAGCCUUCACUAUUAAGAAAUAUAUUACACAAUAAAUUUAACUUGUAAUGAUCAGGGUUGUUUUUAUUCUUGCUUGAAAAUGUGGUCAAGACUUAAAAAGUGGAAGAGGAACCUAUUUGUCGUUGAAGAAGAUUUUGAAACAAGUACUAUAAGCUACCUACCGGGGCCUAACUAGGGUGGUUUUCAAAAUAACAAUACUAGGAUUUAGUUUCUUGAAAUGCCAAUUAUAGAGCUCUAGAUUUUAUUUCUAGCGUAGCAUUCUUACCAAUUAGACCUAGGAAGACUUGGAAAGAGACUUUAAGAAAAGAUAUGGAGUACUUGGAGCUGACGGAAGACAUGGCACAAAGCCGAGUACAGUGGCAUUCUAGGAUUCCUACAGCCGAACCCACUUAGUGGGAUAAGGCUUGGUUGUUGUUGUUGUUGUUGGUGUUGUUGUAGUAGUGGUAGUAUUCUUACCAAUGUAGCAUUUUUCUGGCAGAUCAGUAUAUUUUGACUUUCUGGUUGAAAAGAGAACUGUUAACCUCAGGGUGGGAACAUGGAUGAGCUCAUGUUUUAGUCUGUCUCUAUCUUAUGCAUUUUCACGUGGUAUUCUUGUAUGUCACCCUAGUUAAGCCAUCACUCUUAGUAUCCCAGAAUUGAAUCAACAUUUGAACUAUUUUCAUAUCCACCAACUUAAGCUUUUAUGUGCCAUCUUAACUAGUUAUACAUCAUUGCUUUACAUCUCCAGAUAUGUUGUUCUCUUCUUUACCUACCUCUCAAAUGUGCUUCAUGUACCACUGUCUUCCUGUUUUUGCCAUUAUUAACUAUGCUUCCUCAUAAUGUUCAGGAAUCACAUUCAAGGAUAUCCAUCAAUUCGUAUUUUUCGUAAAGGAAGUGAUGUGAGGUAAAUGCUACAAAAUUUCGCAAAGUUUAUUUUCUUUUCAAACUGAUUUCUACUCAUUUAUUUAUUAUCGAAAUGAUUUCAACUUUGGAGUCUUAACAUUACGUUUUAAAUCGCAUUUAAAUUAUCGUUUUUUAUUUUUGUCUGUUCUAUCUUCAUCUUACUCGUAUGCGUAUUUAUCUGUAUCUAUUUGGAGAGCAGUUUUUUACGUGCUCUAAGGCUCCAUUUCAACAUGUGGAUUUAUAUGCAAGAUUUGAAUUUGACUUUGUGAUAUAUUGAGUGUGAAAUGUCAAAAGAAGGGAUAAAGUAUAGUUUUGAUAUACUGAAAGAAAAUUUUGGUCAAGUACAUUAGGGAGUUAAUUUGAAAUAACGUUUUGUUCUUGAAUAUUUAACUGAUCUUAUAUUGUCAUGUACAUGUACUUCAAUUUGCAAAGAAUUUUACUAUGCCUAAUAUCUCAUACAAUUUAUAAUAAAAAUGCAAAUCGAAAUCCUCAAUUUCAAGUCAUCUAUCUAAAUGCAAUCUUUGGGCAGCCAAUUAAGUUGUAUCUAUGUUUUUCUGGUCCUUCAGUUGUGGAGCUGCAUGCAUAGUUUAUUCAUUCUAUGAUCUUUCUAAGAUGGUAAUAGUAUCGAAAAGACAAUUCUCUCUCUUGUCUUCCCUCUCUUGCCCUUUCCCCCAGGGGUGUUUCUCCAUUCUCAAGUGUAUGUCCUGGGUUUUAGAAAUGCUAAUGUUUCAGUUUAUUUUCUUUAAUUGACCCAUUUUGAUAUAUACAUUUGAUUCUCAAAUUUUGCUCCCUCGGCCAUGCCUGUCUUGUACAUAUGAAGCUUAAAGCUUAAAGUAAGCAACCUCUUUAUGUGGCAUUCUUUCACAGGGAUGACCAUGGACACCAUGAGCAUGAAUCUUAUUAUGGUGAUCGAGAUACAGAUAGCCUUGUUAAGGUACAAGCAUUCAUAAGUUUUAAUUAGUGUCACUGUAUCCCAUGUUUAACUUUGACUUUGAACUUGUUGGUGCUUCUUGAUAUUCAGUGGCCCAAUGAAAUUGUAAAUCUAAUAUGAAGCUUCUAUCCUUGCAGACAAUGGAAACUUUGGUUGCACCUAUCCCUGUGGAGUCUGAAAAACUCGCUUUGGAGGGUAAAUCUAACAACGGGGGUGAGAAUGCAAAAAGACCAGCACCAUUGACAGGAGGGUGUAGAAUUGAAGGAUAUGUGCGUGUAAAGAAGGUGAUCUUCUAGUUGAAAUUGAAAUUAAUAGAACCAUUGGGCAUGUAAGACCUAAUUGCAGGACAGUGAUUAUACCGAUGAAAGAGGGAUUGAACAACUCAUUUCCUUUUUUUCUUUGUCUGAGCAUGCCUUCAGGUGUUUCACAUGCUUGAAAUCGGUAAGAAUAAAGAGAAAUGCCAAGGGCAGCUGUGACUGCUCAAUUUGGUUAGCAGAGCUGCACACACGAGUCUCCAUCACACUUGAGAAUCACAUGUGCAGUCAUGACAGCAGCGGCUGACCUUGGCUUCUUCAUGAAAAAAAAUAAAAAAUUUGCCACCUUAGCAACUAAGCUAUGGUUUACCUCCUCAAAUUUUUAAAUUUCUUGUACUUGGUGGUUAACAUGAAUUAACAGAAGAGAAUAUUGUACCAGUAAAAUGCAAUUUAUCAUUGACAGAAUUCUGGCCUUCUUUGUCCUUUCAAUUGACCUUACAGUAAAACUCUUAGCUGUUAUUCAGUUGGAAAUAGGUAUGAUUUGUCCUGUGCUGUGCAGGUUCCGGGAAACCUUGUCAUUUCCGCUCAUUCGGGAGCUCAUUCCUUCGAUGCUUCUCAAAUGAACAUGUCUCACGUCAUUUCACAUUUUUCAUUCGGUAGGAUGAUUGCUCCUAAGGUGAUGAGUGAUGUCAAGCGAUUGGUACCUUAUCUUGGUGUGAGCCAUGAUAGGUUGAAUGGUCGGUCUUUCAUAAAUCACCAUGAAUUAGGUGCUAAUGUUACAGUAAGUUUGUCUCUAUGCAUGACUCUUCCUAUCUUUUUCUUCUGUUUGUUUCUCUAUUGUUCUGCACUUGUCCAUUAACAUGCCACUGUGUGUGCAAGUGUAUUGGUAAUGUAUAGCUGCAUGUGAUUGAGUUUUACGCAUUUUAGUAGUUGUAUGGAUAUUCUUACCUCCCUAAAGAUGCUUCCACGGUCCAUAAACAUCUCCUUCUUAGUGGAUACUAACUGUUUUAAUUCCUUUUUUGGGUAAUCUUCUUCGGGUACUAAAUAGUGUUUAUUCCUGUUCGUUGUUGGUGAUAGUCCAUCUUUAUUCGUUUUACCAUAUAUUUGUGGACUUACAAGUAGAUUCAUUAAUGAAGUCUAUUGGGCUGGUAAAGAGUAGCAAAUGCUUAAGCUCAUUAUAAUUGCAAUAUCUGGUAAUUGUAUGUGCAGAUAGAGCAUUACCUUCAAAUAGUUAAAUCGGAAGUCAUAACUGGGAGAUCUCAUAAAUUAAUUGAGGAAUAUGAGUACACGGCCCACAGCAGCUUGGCGCAGAGUCUCCAAAUACCAGUUGCGAAGUUCCAUUUCGAGCUCUCCCCCAUGCAGGUUUAAUUUUCGUUAAAAACAACAAUAACGUAAAUGUCUUUUAGUUUGUACUCUCGUUGCUUCUCUCACAUUUUCUCUUUCUUUGUCUAUAACCAGGUUUUAAUAACAGAAAACCCGAAAUCCUUUUCACAUUUUAUCACGAAUGUGUGCGCUAUUAUCGGAGGCGUUUUCACGGUUAGUAUCUUUGUUUUUUGUAGUUGUUUCUCAAGAGUGCUUACUAAUUAUUUCUUUCGUUUGGGUCUGCAGGUAGCGGGAAUAAUGGACUCAAUUCUGCACAAUACUAUUAGAAUGAUGAGGAAGGUUGAACUCGGCAAAAACUUCUGAUAGAUAGGCCAAGUGUUGGGUAGUGUACAAGAAGAAUUAUUUAUUUGCUACAUCUGAUUUAGUGAGGAUUGUUUUGUUAACGAUGACAACAUGCUCCUCUUAGAAAGAAGAAAGUGGAAUGAAGCAUUACCAGUGCCGAUUUUUCGGUUCAAGUUUUCGAAACACGAAGCGAUUUUACAAACAUUCUAUACUUCACAACUCAUGCGAUUAUUAGUUAGAUGACUUUGUACUAAUUGUUAUGGGAUAUGUCAACGAGGGAUAGUGCAAGCACCCAUUAUACUCCUACAUACAUUUACUUAAUGCAUUCACCAUUUAAUAGUUAAUAUGUAUUCAAAGAGAUACACUCAUCAUUUAACGGUCAAAUAUGUAAUCGAAGAGAGAAUAUAAUAUCUUACCAUUAGAUGAUGAAUGUAGUAAGUAAAUACUUUUACUGUUUGUUUCAAUUACUUAUCCAAUUGGAUUGGAUUCGUAAUUUCAUUAACACUAUGUUUGAAUGAAGAAAUUUAAUAUUACUAAAGAAUUUUAAAAUGACGGAAAUAGAAAUAACGGAAUAUUAUUAUCUAGAAUUUGUGAAUUUUCUUUUUUGAUUAACUUCAAAAUACAAUGAAAUUUGAAUAUUGAUUUUUUUUAUUUUUAAACUCUUACUCAUAGAAAUUUGGAGAUGACAUCUAUUUACAUGAAAUUUAAACUUGGGAAUUGGAGUCCCAAUUUCAAAGUUUCUUUUACAUAUGAAAAUUUUAAUUUCUAUAUUUAUGAAUCCUAAUAAAGGGAAGUGAUGUAUGUCAACUUAUAAAUUUUAACUUUUAUCAAAAUUCCAUGUUUAAAACUCUCACCCAUUAAAAUUUCGACAUGACAACAUUAGAUUUCUGUGAUGAGUCUCCUUGCAAAAAUUCACUCAUACAAUUCAAUAGAGCAUGCUAUUUUUCACGCAUAGGUAAGGAUUUUCAAUUUUUUUUAGACUAUACUACAUAUUAUGAAGCCAAAUAUUUUUCUUUACCAUUCAGUUUUUGUUUUAGACACAACUACAAAAUCCAUGAUAAAAAUUUCACAGAACUACAGCAAAGCAUAAGAUUUAGGGAACUUUAACGAAAAACACCCGGUACUGUUCACUUUAACGAAACCACAUUUUUACACUAAAAAGUCAAUUCUGGUACUAUUCACUUUACCCUUUAUUUUGUCUUUAUCAUUAAAACUCAAAGUUUUCAAGUCAUUUUCAUUAGUUUUCCUUAAGAUUUAAAGGUUUCAUAAUACAGUAAAACGAUUUGUCCCUCUCCUCCCUCGCUAAACAACAAUUCAUAACAUUUAAAGGGAUUUAGCUUGUAGGUAUAACUAGCUGUUAGUUUUGAGGGUUUUUGGGUCUAUUCAGUCGAGAUUUUUCUUAUAUUUAAAAGUUUUUAUAAAAACAAAAAAUUGUGAAAUUAGGGGCUAACCUUUAGCGGUAAAUGAUAAAAACUCAUGAAUUCACAAUACAUUCUGUAACGGAUCGAAUAUGGAUUAAUAGCUAAAUUUAACGGCUUUGGAUGGUCGAACACCUCGUAUCUUAUUGCUUCCACAAUCGCAAGUCAUGAAACCAAAGAUAAUACUUGCAUUUCCCACGGGAAGGCACAUAUACAUUAACAUGCACUACGUAAAAUUAAUCAAUUUAUUUAUUUGUGCAUACAUCUACAUUAUUGGCCUUUAUUGUGGAGUCUCACAAGCACAUACAAAUGAGAAUCAAACAAAUAUCAAGCACCAGUACAAACAUGUACACUGAGCUUUAAGGAAAAAAGAACAUAAAAUAAGACAGAGAGUAAUAAAAAGAUACUCUCAGAAGAAAACAAACUUUGUACUCAAGGAAUCCAAUCCAGUUAGAGUAGUAAAAGUGUUGAGGAUGCAGCAAAUGCUCCGACGGACCCAAUAAAACUCAUGAAAACUGAAGAAGCCGCGUUCGGAGGUGGAGGAGGUGUUUCACCUUCAGGAGCAGGAGUAGGGUUAAUCUCAGUAGUCCCUGACGGCGGUGGAGGUGGAGACGCUUCAUCAGAAGGAGCUGGAGAUGGGAUCAUAUCUUUUGAGUUUGAAGAUGAAGGGGGUUUUGCAUUUCUGCUUCUCUCUGCCAAGACAAUCACUACCACCUUCUCAUUUUUCUGACAUUUAUCUUUGUUCCCACUGAUGAAGUAGAAUGGCCCGGAUUGGUUGAACUUGAAGACAGUGUGGCCAUCGGUGUAUUUCUUAGCCGUAGGUGAAUCCGUGUUGCAGUUGGUGUAGUCGUCCUGGGUUACUAGAAGCACUGAGUCUUGGCCAGGAGGGUAGUGGAACACUGCAGUUGAAAUACACAUCAAGUAAAUUAACAAGGGUAAGCAUGGCUACGUGGGAGUAACAAACCUUUUAUUUUUAUUUUUGUACAAUUUUGAUUGUGUGUUGUUUUUGUUACAAAGAAGGGAAGGGAGGAGGGGAACCAGAACCUCCCUUUUUUUGGGGUGGACGUAAUUUACUACCAUUGGAGCUACAAGCCCCAAAAUACAAUGAUCUUUUAUUUGAUCUGUUAAGUUCUCGUGAGACACUAUAAAUUAAAAUCACAUGCAUACACAUAAUUCCAUCAAAUCAACAAUCUUAAUUACAGUUGGCUUGUCCAACCAUGUAAAAUAUAUAUCAGACUGAAGAAAGUUGACGUUUUCGCCAUAAAAUCAAUUGGUAAUAUGAGAAGUAGCCAAUUACUUAUAAACACAUAAUAGAUCUUUCUUUUCUUUUCUUUUUUAUCAACAAAAUUUACUUUUGUAUUUAAUUUUAAUCACAUAACUUCGGUUUUUAUCAUCGUAAUCAAUUUAAAAACAUGAACAAUGAUAAGUGUCCCUUGAAAAGUAAUAUAAUUCUUUAAUAAAAUUAAUAUAUAAGUGGUGGACUAUAAAAUCAUGUUCUUCACCAUUUUUAACCUUAUGGGCAAAUUUGAAAUGAAAAAUAAUGUAUUAACGCAUCAAACUAAGUUUUAACACACACAAUAGGAAGGUUAUCCUGGGUGGCAUAUAUAGGAGUCAAAGUGUUUAAAUAAAAUAGGUUUUACCUAAAACUUGCUUGUAUAUUCAGAUGCUGAAAACUGAGAUGGAUAUGUAGAAUCUUAUUAAUAAACAUAGAGCAUAAAAUACUUACCAAUGGAGUCUCCGAUUUGAAACCUGUUUCUUUCUGCCCAUUGAUUAUAGUGAACAGAAGAAUCAGGAAUACACCAGCCCUUUGAGCCUCCAAUUGCAAAGUCAGUUGCACCACUCUUCUGUAUCAACAGCGUCACGCAUACAAUCCCCAGAACAAAAACUGCAUUAAUAUUAUUUUUGUGAAUUUGGUUGGCCAUUGUUGGACCAAAUAUUGCUUGUAUUUCCCUGUCGUUUUUGGAAGACGAAGAAAAAUGGGAUGGAAUGAAUGGUGUUCUGAGGGGGGUUUUGUAGGGGUUGCAUGGAAUACUUUCUACCAGCUUUGUUGUCAGAGAAGCUUUUGCUACUUUUUCUUAUUCUUUUUUUAUCUUUUAGGUUUCUUAGCUCUCAAUGCAAAGCAUAUGUGCACUUUCAAUUGUUAAGGGGUUGUUAAAGAAUGAUGAAUUGCACGUAAAACUAAUUAGUAAUAUGAAGAACAACUCAAUUAUUAUAAGUAAAUGUAAAGUCUGUUCUUUCCUUGAGAUGUGGGAUUAAUACCCUUAACAUAUCCCUCAAGUCUGAUGAAUUGAAGCUUAGCAUGUAAACAGUACAAAUUAGGUGACGUGGAGUACGUGUGACCAUAUUUGGGCUUCACACAUGGAACAACUUGUUUGUUGACCUUCAUACAUGAGACAACUUGCUCUCAUACCAUGAAAAAGUCAAGGUCCAACCAUAAAACUAAUUAACAAUAUAGAGAGUAACUCAAUUACUUAUAAGUACAUACAAGAUUUUAUUUUUAUUUUUUUCCUAUGUGAGAUUAUUACUCUCAAUGGUUGUUCUUUGGGACUUUAUUUUUUUCCUAUGGCUUUAUUCUUUGCUUAAACAUUAUCAAGAAUAUUCAUGGCUUGUGUUCUGGGUUAGACUAAUUAAUUAUUGAACGUGAUUUGUCUCUCUCUGUCUCUCCUCUAGGCAUUUCCCUAUGUCAAUUUGCAAUGAAGUUAUGGAACUCAGUAAUAAAAGUCUUGCAGAAUGGUAUUUUGCAUUGAAGAACUGACCUCCUGACCAGUGAACGAGCACAGGUUCCAAAUUUUAGAGCUCAAGUGGAAGCUUAACUUUCUUUUUUCCGUCGGACGUACGGUGCAAUUUUUUUAGAAGAUACAAAUUAAUCAAAUCAUUGUGAGAAGGUAAUGAAGUAACCUUUUGGAUUAGAACUGCAAACACAUGCUCUUGUGGAUGUUGCAAAUUCAUUGAAUGAUUCUGUUCGUGAGGAUCAUUGUAUAUAUGCAUCACAAUUAAUAAGGAUCUUAUCCUUAACAUAAAUAUUUUUUUUAAACCAAAAUAAGGAUUGAUGUUUACUAAUACUACAGUUUAGUAGUAUAUAUUCUUAUAUAUUUGUAAGGGCGAAUUCGACACUAAAUUAUUAUGACUAACUCAUUGUGUGACUUAGCCUAAUUAAGCACACCUCUUUGUAAAUGUUGAGUGUAUAUAAGAAUCCCAAAAUGGGAAAAUAAGAGACGUAAUAUGUGUUGAUAAGGAGUUUGGCUACUCUCUAUAUUACCAUUUGAUUUUCUAGUGGAACCUCAACUUCUUUCAUAAUAAUUGAGUUUGAAAUUCGUCACACAUGAGAUUUUAUUCUGAAAUCUCAACUUCUUUAUAAAACCGAUUCUCCAUUUCUAAUUUUGUGUUGAGCUCUUCACAAGCUUUGCCAAAAUCUACUUUGAAGAAGAUGUUAUAUUGUAUUUGUUUGCUUCGGGCUUAUAGUUUUUUUUUUCUUUCUUUUUUUUAUUGAAGAAGAAGAAGAAGAAUAAGAAAAAUCGAUAGUGUAGUAAAAUGGGGUGGAGGUCAAGGCUACAGGUCAGCCUCGACCAAAGGUAAACAAAUCUUGGUAGGAACCAAUAAGAACCAGUUACAGAAUUUCCUCAACAUGGAGAUCCAAGAUAAAGGAAGGCGGCCGAAGUAAGUAACCAUUCACGUUCACUACCAAUGGACAAGCUGUAACGAGCCAAACGAAUGCUUCGAGCUUAAGGUUUAUAUGUAAUAAAAAUUGUACGCAAUUUCUCUCUCAAAGUGGCUAGGUUUUUUCCCUCUUGGUAAUCCUUCUUGGUCUAUUCCCUUUCUCCCCUUCCUGUUAUUUUUAUUUUGGUGUAGAAUUGUCACCGUAACACAUUGUAGUCGCCAAAAUGUUUGCUGUCUUUUGACCCAUGCACAUGAUUACCUAAAAGGUUUGGGUCAAGACUGUCAAGUUGUCACCUUCAAUAUGAGUUUGGAGCUGCAAGGAGUGAAAUCUAUCAUAUUGCAUAUGGUUCAAAUUUAGUCAGUACGACACUAUUGUUGGUAUAUGGUCCAGCCCAUGAUGAAUGUUCUAGAUUAUUCUAGUAAACAAGUGAGGUGGCCGUAACAUGCUAGACAAUUCUAGCAUGUUAUCAAGUUGAUAGAAGAAGCUAGAGAGUAAUAGCUUCCUUGGUUGCAAAUGGAAAGAUCCAUGCACAUGCUAAAGAAUUCUAGCAAAGUUCAAGUUGGUGGAAGAGUCUAGAAGAAUGGUGAGGAUUCCACCAACAUACAAGAUUAGUAUAGAUAAUUUUAGCUUAGGAAGGUAGUGGAAUUAUCUAGAUAUCUCUAGCAUGAUGUUUCCAUGCUUCUUCAAGGUUCCAUCCAUGCCUAUAAAAGGAGAAGGCAUCCACACCGUUUGUAUCAACCAACCAAUCAAGAGAGUAGUGAGUAGCAAAGAAUCAAGUCCAAAGCUAGAGUUCCACUCCAAGAGUGAGAGUAUUCCACUACACAUUGUGUGAGUGAAGUUUAGAGUGAUAGAAAGUGUGUGCCAUACUUUCUUGUAUCCAUCAAGCCUUGUCUUUGGCUUGGUAAGACUACACUUGUUGUACUCACAUUUUUCAUAUAGUGAAGAUUGAUCCUUGUUUAGUAGACAUAGGCAUAAAUUGCCGAACUACAUAAAUUCUUGGUGUCCAUUUUCUACUUUACCUUGUGCAUUCUCUAUCUUGUAGUACCGACAUUCCUAACAAGUGGUAUCAGAGUCCGGUUGGCUCGUACUACGAGAUGGAAGGAAGUGACACUAUGAUCAAACUCACCAACUCCAAUUGGGUAACAUGGAAGCCAAGGAUGGAGGACAUUCUCUAUUGCAAGGAUCUGCAUGAGCCAAUUGAAGGAGAUGCCGCUAAGCUCGAGAGCAUGUCCGAUGCCGAGUGGAAGAAGAUGAAUCGCAAGGCUAUUGGCACAAUUAGACAAUGGGUGGACGAUAGUGUUUUUCACCAUGUGUCUAAAGAAACCAAUGCCUGCGAGUUUUGGACGAAGCUUGAGUCCUUGUUCGAGAAGAAGACCCCAGCCAAGAAAGCCUUCUUAAUCAAAGAGCUCAUCAAUGUGAAGUACAAGGAAGGUUUAAGUGUAGCAGAACACUUGAACAAUUUCCAGAAUAUCAUCAACCAGUUGGCUACUAUGAAAAUGAUGAUCGAGGACGAGCUACAAACGCUCUUGUUACUUUAAUCCUUGCCAGACAGUUGGGAGACCUUUGUGGUGAGUGUAAGUAACUCUGCUCCUACUAGUGUUCUUACUCUUGAUAAUGUUAAAAAUAGCUUGCUCAAUGAAGAAACAAGGAGAAAGACUUCAGGCACAUAUAGCAGCCAAGUAUUUGUCACAGAGAACCGAGGAAGAAGCAAGAGUAGAGGACCUAGAGGUCAUGGCAGGAGUCCUAGCCGAUCCAAGUCGAGGUUCAGGGGUGCAUGCCAUCAUUGUGGCAAAGAAGGUCACAUGAAGAAGCAUUGUCGUAAAUGGAAAAAGAAACAAAGGGAUGGAAACAAUACUGUAGGUGUUGUGACUUACGGUGAAGAGCUUUUUUAAUGCAAACAAGCAAUGCUUUUCUGGCAAAGAAGUAUAUAAUUGCCUUUGCCAAUGACAAUGGUAGUUCUGAUCAAGGGGAGCUUGGUCAAGAGAAGUCUAAUCGAGAGGGUCUUGGUUAAUGAAUAGUUCAAUCAAUGGGAGUUUGGUCAAGAGGACCAAUCCUAUUUUCUGGUAUUCUUCCCUCAUGGACUGGAGGGGGAGAUUAUUGGUAUAUGGUCCAGCCCAUUAUGAAUGUUCUAGAUUAUUCUAGUAAGCAAGUGAGGUGCCUGGAGCAUGCUAAACAAUUCUAGCAUGUUAUCAAGUUGAUGGAAGAAGCUAGAGAGUACUAGCUUCUUUGGUUACAAAUGGAAAGAUCCAUACACAUGCUAGAGAAUUCUAGCAAAGUUCAAGUUGGUGGAAGAGUCUAGAAGAAUGGUGAGGAUUCCACCAACAUACAAGAUUAGUGUAGAUAAUUCUAGCUUAGGAAGGUAGUGGAAUUAUCUAGAUAUCUCUAGCAUGAUGUUUCCAUGCUUCUUUAAGGUUCCAUCCAUGCCUAUAAAAGGAGAAGGCAUCCACACCAUUUGUAUCAACCAACCAAUCAAGAGAGUAGUGAGUAGCUAAGGAUCAAGUCCAAAGCUAGAGUUCCACUCCAAGAAUGAGAGUGAGAGUGAGAGUGUUCCACUACACAUUGUGUGAGUGAAGUUUAGUUCCACUCCAAGAGUGAGAGUGAGUGUGUUCCACUACACAUUAUGUGAGUGAAGUUUAGAGUGAUAGAAAGUAUGUGCCAUACUUUCUUGUAUAUAUUAAGCCUUAUCUUUGGCUUGGUAAGACUACUCUUGUUGUACUCACCUUUUUAAUAUAGUGAAGAUUGAUCCUUGUUUAGUAGACAUAGGCAUAAAUUGUUGAACCAUAUAAAUUCUUGGUGUCCAUUUUCUACUUUACCUUGUGCAUUCUCUAUCUUGUAGUAUCGACAUUCCUAACAACUAUGGCUCUCUUCGGGAUGCCAGGAGGAUAUGGAGUGGCAUCACUGUUUUGUUCAUUUAGUUUGAUUUAGUUUAAUAAUUACCAGAAACUCAUUAGAAAUUUGCUUCUUUUUUCUCUCUUAGGAGAGUUCUUUCGUUUUAGUUUCAUCUAGGUAUUGUAGAUUUCUUUUAUGUGUCAAGGGGCCAAGUUGUUUGAAUUGUUGAAUCUACUUCACUUGGUGUUUUAGAGUUAUGGUGGCGAUUAAGUAAUUCGGUUAGAAACACAUGAAUUAUAUUUUUCUAUGGGAGGAUUACUCGAACUCAUGUAGACAUCUAUUCAAAGCUCAUCAAUUAACCACUGUUUCUACGGGGCUGAGUUGUUUGAAUUGUUGAAUCUACUUCACUUGUUGUUUUAGAGUUAUCGUGGCGAUUAAGUAAUGUAGUUUAAUGCGAUUAGAGACCUAUGCAUCGUAUUUUUCUAUGGGAGCAUUACUCGAACUCACAUAGACAUCUAUUCAAAGCUCAUCAACUAACCACUAUUUCUACUUGCUCCUUGUUUUAAGCAUACUGAAUUUUCAUUAUUUAUACAAAAAAUAAAACCUCGCAUGCAUAGACUAACUUAAUAUUUUGUGUGUGUGUCAAAGCUUUGAGGCCCUUGGCCGGUCGGCUUUGUCAAUGACUUAGGAGCAAAGAAAAAAGCAUGGGAUGGUAAUCCUUUGGGCGCUAAAUUUUUCCUUAAAUUUAUUAAUAAGAAGCAAGCACGUUAAUCAGCACUUAAAUAAUAAUCUAAUCAUUAAUUUCAAUGUCAUUUAAUUUACAAAAUUCUGUCUAAAAAUUUAAUCUUCGUAACAUUACUACUAAAUAUGUUUGGCAUAAAGUAUAUUUCAUUGUUUGUUAACUACAUAUAAUUAAGAUUAGCAUAAGGCCAUACAACCGUAUAAAACAAUAGACAUUCAAGGCACAUAGAUCAACUAUGCAUGGGUUCGACGUAUUCGAGAUGUUAACAAAGUUGACCGACUCCAAAACCAUCCAAAGCCAUCCUACUCACCCUCUCAUCAGGGUCCACCCAAUGCGUUGACUUGACUCAGUCUUACAACUUCCAUGGCUUUCUUUCUGUGUUCCCGCGAAAGCGAUGGCCUUGGAAAUCUCUCAGCCACCCAGUCAAGUUUCUGCCACCCAAAAAAACAAAAAAAAAACCAAUGAGAAAAUCCCAGAAAAUAGUAAAUUUAUUUACCACAGAGAAAAAGGUGACCCAAGUACAGGUAAUUUCUUUUUCUUAUUUACUCCUUUAUUUCAGGAUAAAAAUGUAGGGUAAUUACGUGCGUAAUAAAUAGAUGACAUAGAAAAUUUAGACAGUGAAAAUGAGUGAAAAGCAAAGGGAAAACAGGGGAGGUUAAAGAGUUAAUAAAUAUUGGUUGUGGGGAUUUUCAGGUGGUGUGUGAUGGCAGCCGUCUCGUCACGACGACUUUGACAGAGUAUUUACCGCGACAAUCAUCAUUGUCGUAUAAAAUCACACCCCCACACCAACACAGAAAACAUAAAAAAAAAUAAUACCCAUAAAAGCAAAAAGGAAAAACAGAUCAUUUCUUUUUUUGUGGGGUUUUGAGCUUGAUCCAAAGGGUCUGAGGAAGUUUAAUUUUUCUGGGUUUUGAUUGGUUUUUUCUGGGUUUUGGUUGAUUUGUUGAAAAGCGGUUAGCUCUGAGUGCUGGUUGAGGCCAUCUUUGUUGGUUUGGGGAAAGUGCUUUUGUGUCUUCUGUGAAAGUGCUUUUGGGGGAUUGGAAUGUGGAGGGACGCUGGGACUCCUGCUGAUUCUUUCUAUGAAGUACGCCCUGAGUGUACUGAUGUUCCCAAAACCCGCUUCAAGAUCAAGGUUUUUCUUUCUGUUCUUUGUUUGAUUGUUGGAUUUGGAUUUAAAGAUUGGGGUUUUUAGAUACCCAUCGUCUUAAUUUUGAUCUUUUCCCAUUUGAAAACCAAGAUAUUGUGUAAUGAAUCAGAUUUGAUAAUGCAGGGUGCUAGAUUUUUAGUUAUGAUCAUGAAUUGGUGGUGUUGAUAUAGAAUCACAAAGUGAUGAAAUUGGAAAAUUUUUAGAUUUUUCGGAAGGAGAAAGUUGGGAAUAGUGUUAAUGUUAAUGUUAAUUGAUCACCUUGUUGAAUUUUGGAAGGAGAAUGUAGGACAUAUAGGAUUAUUCUGGUGACUAAAACCGGAGUUAUGAGGAUCUUGUUGGUUCUCAAUACAUAUCCGAGAGUCAAUAUGCUCCCACCCGCUAACGCCUACCCAAUAUGUUGGGGAUAUUCGGUCUGGUGUUGCUUAUGCACAACUUCAUAGAAAUCUGUAUAUGAAUGUGUGAACAAUUACGUACACAAAUAUGAAAUUGAUAAUUGUGAGCAAUUAAGGGAAAUAUAGCUAUAUUUGCACAAACCCUUGCCUCAAACUCCAGCAUGUCAGAAUCUUUGGCUUGAAAGUUUUCUCAAGUUUUGACAUUUUAACUCCGUGUCCUUCUCCAUAUAUCAGGAUACGUUUGUAACGCCAAUAUUUGUGAUCUGGAUCACCAAAGUAUUAUGAAUCGGAACAUCGAUCUGGAUUAUGUUUCAUGGGGGUUGGCCUUAAUAAGAAAAUGAUUUGAUUAUACUAAGGCUUUUAAACAAUGAGAAACUGAUAAAGAUUCAUUGUGUAUUCUAUUAAAUAUGUCUGCAAUUGUCUUAUUACUUCAUAGUGAUUUCAAUGUCUCAUUACCAUGAUGUGCUUCUUUCAAUCUCCAUGCCUUAUUUCUAUUUGCUCAUGCAGGCAGGUAAAACUCUAAGUGUAAGGAAAUGGCAGGCUGCAUUUAGUCCAGAAGGCCAACUGGAUAUAGGCAAGACUUUAAGUCGAAUUCACCGUGGGGUGAGUGAAUCUUCAUGAUUCAAAGCUACCACUUAGUAUGCUAAAUUUUGUCGUUAUAUUUAUAAAACUCAGUUUUGGAUUCUGUGUAGCUAUCAGAGCGUCUCAACAAUCCUAUCAAUACUUGUCUUUAUGGAUUCACCUUUUUCUCUUUAUAUUUUUGUUGUUCUUUAUUGUUUUACUCAUGAAAUAAUCAAUUUGCAAGGCUAGUAGUCAACUUCAAUCCAUAAUUAUAUUAUAUUUGGCAAUCAGGGAAUCCAUCCAUCAAUUAGAGGAGAAGUUUGGGAGUUUCUAUUAGGUUGUUAUGAUCCUACGAGCACAUUUGAUGAAAGAGAGCAGAUUCGGCAACGUCGAAGGUAUAUCUUGUUUCCUGCCUUACUCGGGUUCCUUCAAAUUUAUUAGUCAUUUACCUUUUAUUUUCUCUUUAUCUAAUGAAGUUUCCUUGGGUAGUACACUCACAAUUGAUGAGAAUGGUCUAAGGAGAAAUUAUUUCUGGUUCAUGUAUCUUUUAGUACUGCAAUUCGUUAAGUAAUUUAAAGAUGAUCUUUUGGGAAAAUGAUCAAUAUCAUGAGUUGAGGUUUAUGACUUGCGAUGUACCCCAAGUGAGUAAAUUUAGUUAACAACAAUGGCGAAACAUGCUAGCAAAAGACUCAGGUUUUCCUCUUCAUACGAUAGGGAUCCAGGCUCCAGCAUCUCUAUUUUAUGUGGGAUGUGUAUAUUUCCAAACGUACAGGCUGUACAUAAUGUUAUCUUGUCAGAUUCCAGCAUGUUAUGCUUAACCUGUCCCAUUAUUCGGUAUUAUUUGUUAAGUAUCAUGCUUUGUCCUUUUCAGAGUGCAAUAUGCUCGGUCGAAGGAAGAUUGCCGUCAAAUGUUUCCUGUUGUUGGAAGUGGUAGGUUUAUCACUGCCCCCGUAAUCACUGAAGAUGGUCAGCCCAUUCAGGAUCCCAUAGUACUUUCACAAAUAAAUCCAGACAAUGGUUCAAGUACAAACCGUAAGAAUGUCAUGGAACCAGUAACGGACAAGAAAGUAAUCCAGUGGAUGCUUACUCUACAUCAGAUAGGUUUGUGAUAUAUUUUUUUGUGUUUGCAUACAUAUUAUGGUUAUUUUGGAGGAACUUCUAUUUUUUGUCAGGCAUUUUUUCUUUUUGUUGUCAGUGCCCUUAGACUAUUUUAUUGGUCAAUUCUAUGGUUUCAUCAUGUCAUUACAUCACCUACCUGCAACAUGUGAAAAAAGUACUGAACUUGAUGGAUUGCAGAAUUUUCAUGUUUAAUAAUGAUUUGUUAGAUAACUUUUCUGAUUAUCUUUAUUUGUAUGCCAGGUCUUGACGUGGUUCGUACUGACAGGACACUAGUGUUUUACGAGAAGCAAGAAAACUUGUCAAAACUUUGGGAUAUUUUAGCCGUUUAUGCCUGGAUAGAUACAGAUGUUGGUUAUUGUCAAGGUUGGUAACAUAGGAGUGAUUUUACUACUGGUCCAUCCCUUCCUUACACUUCUGGGAAGUGAAGAAAAAAUUCAUUUUGAUUUUUUCAAAAGAAAAAAAAAAUUGAUGUUUCUAAACUCCGAAAUUCAUGACACAAUGAUCAGGAAUGAGUGAUCUUUGCUCCCCCAUGAUUAUCCUUCUUGAUGAUGAAGCAGAUGCAUUUUGGUGCUUUGAACGCUUGAUGCGCAGACUGGUAAAACUUUGCACUAAAUCUUUCACUUUGUAUAUUAUUCUGAACUUGCAUCAAAUCUAUGCCUACCAUGUGUGUCAAAAAACUAGGAUUGCUAGGCUCUUCCUUCCAGAAAUUAACAGAGGAGAUGUGCAAUCUUAAAUCCAUGUAUUAAUGAGAUUCAUUAGCUGUUUUUGUUCAUCUACUUCUGUCCUUGAACAGUUGCUACAAUAUUUUUCUUUCGAUUUGAAGUUACAUGUUUUCUUUAAAGCUACAAAGUUACUUGGUGAUGGUUAAUUUGGAUUCCAGUUUCUUAUGACUUGUUCCAUUUGAAAUUUAAAGCGAGGAAAUUUCAGAUGUACCGAUAGCUCUGUUGGGGUGGAGGCACAACUAAGUAAUCUGGCUUCAAUUACUCAAGUCAUUGAUCCAAAACUUCAUCAGCACUUAGGUAUUGUCUUUUUUAUUUGCUUUACUAAGCUCUACAAUUAUGUCCAUUUACUUGUCAGACAGAAAAUAUUUGUUUAUGUAAAACGUUGGAGACAUCAUAUGUGAUUUUCACCAUUUUUCAUUAUUCAUAGUCUUCUUCUCAGAACUGAUCAUGAAAAUUCAUGCUCGCCAACCGUUUGGAUGAAUAUUCGAUACAUUUAUUUAUGGAAAACAAAGACGUUUAUUAGGAUUUGAAUAUCAAAUUCGCUGUGUGUUUCUGUCAUGUCUCUCUUACGUUGCUCAACAUAAUGCUAAAAAAUGAGGAAGAUAGUAACAGAUAUGUUCAAUUUGGAGUGCAGAGACACUAGGCGGAGGUGACUAUUUAUUUGCUUUCCGGAUGCUUAUGGUUUUGUUCCGACGAGAAUUCUCUUUUUGUGAUUCUUUAUACCUUUGGGAGGUAAGAAUGAGUUUCUGUUAGUACCUUUUUGAUAUUUUUCUGUUCUUCCUUUUGGAUUUUUUUUUAAUAUAUCUAAUUAUUGCAUGUAUAAAUACUUUUAUCGAAUCCGUGAGACUAUUUCUGGGAAACCACUUCAUUUUUUCGUAAUCAUCAAAUAUUUCUCCACAAUUCCACUUAUAUAUAGUUCCUUAAAUUUAAUACUUAUGCAGAAUUUUUUGUAUUGGACCUUAUUUCUUCCGAGUAAAAGUUGGCAAGUUAGUACUUAUUUGACAAGGUACUUUUCGAAAAUAGAUUUUAAGAACUAUCGCACGCAUUUGAUAUUAAAGACCAAACUCCAGAUCAUUUGUUUGUGUAAUUGGAUGUAUGUGUUCCUGAUUGAAAAGUAUCGAUGCACCCUGUUCUAUAAUAAAGAAGGGGUGUCCUGCACAGUGAAUUUCUGCAGCUAUAUAGUUAUUGCUUUUUCUUUUUUGUUUUUGGCCAAAUAUAUCCUUUUUCUUUGUGCACGUAUACAUGGUUAUCCUGCAUCUUGAACUUAAAAGAUCGUAUUUAUAUUGGUAAGAAUUUAUCUCAUUUAAACUUUGACAGAUGAUGUGGGCUCUUGAGUAUGACCCUGACUUGGUCAGUGUGUACGAAGAAUCUGAUACUGAUAGUGAGAAGGCCGAGGGAUCUAAAGGGAAACCAAAGUCAACACGUCAGUGUGGGAAGUAUGAGAGGGAAAACAUGAAAAGUGGAGGAAAGAAUUCAGAAGCACCACUCCCAAUUUCUGUUUUCCUUGUUGCCAGUGUCCUGAAAGAUAAGAGCUCAAAGCUACUUACAGAAGCUCGGGGUCUGGAUGAUGUUGUCAAGGUUAGCAUUAUCAGUUGACUAUUUGCUAUUCUUAGAACCGUUAUACUUCCAGCUUAUAUUGAGAAUGAUAUUACAUGACUUAAACAGAAAACAUGUCCAUGUGGGGACAGCCUCGUCAUAAAUUCAUCUAAAACAAUAAACAAGAGUUACUAAAUGUCAGAAGCCACUUGCCGUGGCCAAACUAGGGUCCAGGAUGCUGGGUGGAUUUGACAUACAUGAUAAAUUAUAAUUUACAUCUGAAAGUAAAAUAUGUAAUAAAGUGGAAAGGAAUAGGAGACUGGAGCAGCAACAUUGAUCAGCCAACCCUAUUAAAUCUUUCCUUGAAAAUGUGGAUUCUUCUACGGUAGUCAAACAUGCUUCGGAGAAGAAUAUGAUGCUAUCGUUUUGUUCUUUCACAAAUGAUUAUAUAAAAAUUCUAAAAGCCAAAUGAAACUGUUGUUCCAAUGUUGUUAUCUUGGGUUCCAAUUUUGUCCGUGUAGUUUUACAACUUACAUUAGGUUACAAUCAAGAUCAAAACCCUGAAAAAUAAUCACAUCUUCAUGCUGUUUUGUAAGGGAUUGGACCCUAAGUUUGACAUGUUUAUUCCUUAACGGUUCUUGAAAAUUUCAAAUGCGUUGCCUAAUCCCUUAAAAAAAAAAACAUGAAAAGUGAUCAUCUUAAGGAUUUUUGGCUUGAUUGCAACCUAAUGUUAACUAGCAGGAUAUAGUUACAAGUUUUGCAGGACGAAAUUGGAAGCCCCUAGCAAACUGCGUGGACUAAAAUUGUCUUUAGCCAUUUCUAAUGCCCUAAGGGAGACGUUCAAAAUAGUUCUCUAGAGUCGUUAGGGACUGGUGAAGAAUCUUUGACCCGUGUAAUAAACAAGUACUUAGAGUUGUCAAAUUUUCAGUUGGUUGAAUUGAAACUUAAUUUUUGUACAACUUUUACCUGUCUGUUUACUUACCUCACUCUUUUUCUCCGCCAGAUAUUGAAUGACAUAACUGGAAAUUUAGAUGCCAAAAAAGCUUGCACUGGGGCAUUGAAACUCCACAAGAAAUAUCUAAAAAAGGUACUUCAAUUUAUUUUGAAGCAGUGUAGUAUACAAUGAUGUUGUUAUUAAAUUUGUAUGUUCGUGCAUUUCUUGUGCGUGUGGAUGCGCUCACUUCAAAUAUUCGUAUAAUAAUCACUCAAAGUUGCAAUAUCGUUCGCUGAUUUGUUACUGCAGGUGCCCAAGAAGACAUAGCAUCACUUUACACAUGAUUUUUUGGCCACCCGAAAGAAGUAAGACGAUGUUCCUUACAUUGUUUUACCCGAUUUGGCAAGAGAUUAUAAUUUACUUCCACAUAAUCUUGGCUCAGAGUUGAGAGAGCUGCACAGUUGGUCCAUUCUGCCAAAUAUUCCCACAAGAGCAAUUGUUGUUUGUGAAAUUAGUCCAAAUAAUUUGUAUAUUAAAAACUUUCUUUAUAGGCCUGUAUUUUGUACAACGAUAACCGAGGCCUAUAUUUUGUAUUAACGGUACGUUGUUCGUUAUGAUAUUAUGAGGGGUGGAAAGUGCUUAAGCUUAUGCUGUGCUCCAACCCUAAUCAAUGAAAAUAAUUUACAGUGUUCUUUGAUGAAAAUAUCUUGUUACAUUACCUUCUUCCUCCCAGCGCAAUAUGCAGUCAGAGUUGGUGCAGGCACUUACUUUUUUCAUUCAGUAUUUAGUCAUAUUCGGAGAAGCUGUGUUGUCAGUGUUGCUCACUUUGCCUGUGUUUAGAAAGAAGUGAACAUGUAGCACAAAAGUUCAUUGCAAAAUAUACACAACAAAAGGCUGGUCACAAGUUGGCAAAUUUAGGGUUGCUUAUGUAUGAAACAUUUAUGUUCAGAAGUGCUUUUGCAAGGAAAACUUUUAUUAUAAAUAUAUAAAAGUUUUUUAUUAGGCUUAUUAGUCGAAAUGUCCCCUGAAACUGUCAUUGAGUCUUAGUUUACCUCCUAAAACUGGUUUUGUCUCACUUUGUCUUCUGAAAUUGACAUUUUCAACUUUUUUGUCUCACUUUACCCACUUCCGUUAAUGGACUAUUAAAUUUGAGGGUAUUUUAGAUAUUUUAAUUUUUACACAUUUAUUUACCGCUAGCCUACACACUAAACAAGUCUCAAUUUUAUUGUUGACAACUCUAAUUCAAACGCAUAAAUUUUGGGCAUUUUUAAAAAUAAGUUAUUCAAUCAAUAGAAAAAUUAUGAGCAACAAAAUCAUUGUAUCAACCAAAAUAAAGGUCCAUAUAUUAGCUCGAAACUUUGCAAUUGAAAAAUAUUCGUUACAACAAAAUCAUUAUGCCAUUAAGCUAUCUUAUCCAAAUUAAAUAAUUCCCAAACCAAAAAAAAAAAAAAAAAAUCAUUUAAAGCAAAUGUACACAGUUUGAACAAGCUCAUGCCUAGUGGAAGGAAUCAGUGCUCAACAAUGUGAAAUUUUUUGUUUCAAACCAUGCACAUUUUCUUUUAAUGAUUUUUUUGGUUUGGGAAGUAUUUUGGAUAGGAUAGCUUAAUGGCAUAAUGAUUUUGUUGUCAUGAAUAUUUUUCAAUUGCAGUUUUGAGCCGAUACAUGGAUGUCUUGCAAGUGAAAUGACUCUACGAACAAAUAUUUUGGUUGAUACAAUGAUUUUGUUGCUUGGAAUUUUGUCUAUUGAUUGAAUAAUUAUUUUUAAAAAUGCCCCAAGAUGCGUUUGAAUUAGAGUUGUCAAAAAUAAAAUUAAGACUUGUUUAGUGCGGGGACUAGAGGUAAAUAAAUGUGUAAGAACUGAAAAUGUCUAAAAUACCCUUAAAUUUAACAGUCCAUUAACGGAAGUGGGUAAAGUGAGACAAAAAAGUUGAAAAUGUCAGUUUCAAGGGGCAAAGUGAGACAAAAUCAAUUUCAAGGGGUUAACUGUGACUCAAUGACAAUUUCAAGGGGCAUUUUGACUAAUAAGCCCUUUUAUUACUGAAAUUGCAAGUGCUUUGUGUGGAGAAGUACAUAGCCCUUAUACAAUUCGUAAACAUUUUAAUUUUUUUUUUAUACCAGACAUGGUCAAAUGCACUUUUAGUUGUCAAAUAUGUUUAGCCUUUUGAUAAGCAAUCCCAUUGCAUGCCCUUAUUUUGCCCAGGCAAACUUCCAUAGAAAUGUAAGGGAGGAUGAGUAAAAGCUAGUUUCACAAAAGGAAGGCCAUUUCCUUAUUCAAACCGAGUCUUAUUACUCACCCUCUACGUUACAUAUAAAGAGUAUGAGAAGACGUUGCAUUAUUUUACCGUAUAAAUGUCAUAAUCAUAACUGUUCAAUGUGUUCAUUUUCUUUAUUAUCAUCAUAUAAAGACUCUCUCUUAAAAAAUUCAUUUGAUUUGGAGGCCAUUUAAUCAUGAUGAAUCAAUUAACGGUUCAUCAUGAGGAUGCUACUUGUUACUAUAACCGUUGAUUUAUUGGACACAUAUGAAUGACCAAACGAUCUCCAAAUUAAAUGUUUUUUCUAGAGAUACUAUUUAAAUAAUGAUGAAUAUAAUAUUUGUACCUUAAAAUAUUGUCACAUAUUCUUAUAAGAAAGAAUGGCUCCUUACAUAUAAUGAGCCAAUAUGAAUAUUACUAACCCUUCUUUCAAAAGUCUGGAUAAACUUUUAAGUUUGUAUCGGUAAAUAUUGUGUUCCCUUUUUUUUAUUUCUUAUCCUCUCACUCAUCAUUUUUCUUCCUCUCCUAUUUUUUUCAAUGUACUUUCCUGGUAUUACAAGCACAAAAGAUAAAAAUAAGAAAGUAAAAACGAAUGGUUAUUAAACGGAUUCUUAGUGUAACUUACACUAUCCCACUGGUUGGUAGCUCAAUACAGAAGAUCUUAGAAGAUCUUAGGCACAAUACUAAGAUCAGUUUAGACUUGGUGAAUUAUAGAUUGUUGUAUCUUGCAAGGAGUACCGGAGAAUUUGAAGUUUGUUUAAAAGGAAAACUAAUGAAAAAGACUUGAAAACUUUGAGUUUUAACGAUAAGGACAAAAUAAAGGGUAAAUUGAAUAGUACCAGAAUUGAUUUUUUAGUGUAAAAAUGUGGUUUUUCAUUAUCCUUUGCAUAGAGCAGCUAAUUAAAAAAUGAUCAUUUAGCCAUUGGAAUAGUAUAAUGAUGAUUAUUUCAUAUAUAUAUGUGAUUUAUUAGUACCAUUGGAAGACUAUGUUUUAUUUUGGCAUGCUUCGACAUACGGAUAACCCUUGAAUGAGACCUAAACUAUGCUUCGAAUCUUAGAAACAGGUUGCAAGACUAUCGAUCUGGCUUUUUUUUUUUAAAAUCGAUGUUUGUAUUGUAAUAUGUUAUCUUGAAUUUUCUAGUUACCCUGUUCCAACAUUUGGAACUACUACAAACAUUAGAGACUGCAUCGAUCCUAGCUAGGUAAACACAAAAAAAAAGAAGCUAGGAAAACAAAAAGACCACGCGAAUCCAUCCUCAUGAUUUGUAUAUAAUAGCUACUUGCAGUUAAAAUCUUAUACAAAUUAUCAUAACGUCUGUUUUGUGACUGGUUACAAUCUCCUCAUCAUCUGCUUUAUGUGUCUCGAGUUCGAGUAUGGACAGGCCUCGAAAUCUUGGUAGCAUCAUCACUCACACAUAGUUCUUUAUCAGUCUUGAGUGCAUAAUCAUCGGUCUUCUUGCAGCUGACGAGACACAGCACCCACCAUAUGAGGAUGAUAAAACACAUAAACCCGAUCAUAAUCAAGAAUUCCCAGAAAUAUUAAGACUAAUUAAUUUCCUAGAAAGUGAUAGGUAGAUAUAUUAAUAAUCUUUAACUAGCAACAGAAACUAACUCGAAAAACUAUCUACUGUAAUUGGCCGGUGUUCAUUACUAUUUGGUUUAGUGCCACUCAGUCUCUACUUUGUUUGGAAAACAACAUAGAGUUAAAAUCUUACUUGGGGCUAAAUUAAAAAAACAAAAGCAGACCCUAGUUGAUGCUAUAACAUUUCAUUUAUUUAUAUUUCCACUUUGAACCUCAUUUAUUCAUAUAUUCCAAUGACAACUGCGAUCGAUGAACAAUAGUAAUAUUUUUUUUUUUAACAAAUGAGCAAAAGUAAUUAGAUAUUUAAUAUAAUUAACUAUUAAUUUACCUGCAGAUAGAACUAGCCUUGCUGAUGUUUAGUGGAAGCGGUCUGUCAUGAAAAGGAAAGACAUGAUAGCUAUACAAAGGACCAAAAGAGCAUUAGACUUGAGAUGUCCUGCAUUGUUCUUGGGGAACACUUUAGGAAGUGCACACUCUUCUCCAUUGAACAACACUCUCGUUGGGAACCCUUGACCCGCUUUGAUAUCGAUAUUAUGAUAGUGCUUCUUCUUGAACGAAAUCACCGAUUGCUGCUUCCCGGGGACCAUCGGAUUCUUUUUCGGAUCGGUCCCAUUUUUUAUCCCCACCAAGUAGUUCAAACCCUUGAGCCCCGUGAACAAGAUUGUGUUGUUCACGUCCUUUUCCAUCCUCGUCCCAUUGAAGGAGUAGACGUUUUCGUAGUCCUGGUAGGCCUUGUUCAUCUUCACCGCGGUGUACCAAUCUUGAAACUGGUCGGUUCCCCAGUUGAAGAGAGUGAGUCUGGCGGUCCACCCGUUGCUGUAAUCGGAGUCGAUGUGCCAGUUCAAGCUGACACCGCAGUUGUCAGGGCACGGAAGCUUUUUAGGCACGUCGUAGUGCUUGAGCUUGGCCCAUGCUUUUGCCUUCACGGUUCUGUUCGCGAAUGGCACGAGAAGAGCCUCGGCAGGCAAAAGCAUGGCAGGAGCCCUAGGGUUACAUUUGUCCGUCUCAGACGUUUUGCACCCGCACGCGCACGUGCUGCAUGGAACCACAGAGGUACUGUAAUAGGCCGAAAACGAGACGCAGCAUCUGGGGACCUUGGGUUUGGUGAUGUUGCACACCACUUGCCAGCUGGCAAUGGCGUCUGACGUGGCCUGAAGCCCACUUGGGUCGGGGAACUGAGUAGGGUCAACCCUAAUAGGGGGCCCACAUCUGUAAGUAGGGUUGAGGACGCCACUGAUUUUCCACUGCUGAGGAGGAGUUAUGGCAGUUCUGUUGUCGUCGGGUGGGAUCUUAUACACUUGCAGCUGGAAAAUGGACUGGGACUGUGAUUUGUCCAUGAGGCCCGGCAAGAUGGUCCCGUUACGGCAGCAGCGGGGUAGCUUGCCGACCUUGGGAUCAUCCUUUCGCUCAGCGGGGAGGUCGGCGAUGACGGGCCUCUUUUCGCAGUUCAUGACCUGAGAGAAGUCCAAGUCCUUAUAGAAUUUUCCGGCUUGGCCGUAGAGGCAUUCGCUUGUGUCCUUUUUGUGAGUGUAGGCUCCUCUCAUGGUGUUGAUGAACUCUCCCCUCAUCCACUCCCAGGUUAAGUUCCAGUGGUCGAGGCGGCCGAGCGGGUGGACGUUGUCGAUAGUGACCUGAGCCAGGUAGUUCAUUGUGUAGGUUUGGAGUAUAUCGUAUGUGAUUGAGAGAUCACCGUUCUGACGAGGCAUGAAUUUUGUUUUCUCGACUUUCUUUGCCUUGAAUUUUGGGUCCUUUUUACAGCACACGGACAUUGCAGUCUUCCCUGCAUGAGGAAAACAAAAUGGAUACGUAUUAAUGUAUGCAUUUGAACCCUUUCAAGGUUCUUAAGUUAGUGUGUUAUGUUUGCCAAAAUAUUCUUAAGUUAGUGUUAUUUCGGGACACGAUACUAGCAUUAUUAUUAACACGCACUCUCUAGUAUAUAUACAACGAUAAAGUUUGUCUGAAUUGAAUAGCCUGUUGAUGUCAGUUUUAUAUGUAUCAAGAGCAUUAUUGUCUUGGAUUAAAAUCAUAUAAAUUGUCUUGAUAUUGAAUCUAAUCGAUCGUCCUAAAAGAUGUACAACCUAGCUAGAAAAUAAGAAAGCCAAUUUGACCAAAAUCAAAAUAUUCAAUCUUGAAUAAAAUCAUAUGUUCUGCAAAAAGAUUUCUCAAAAUAUCACGUGUAUAUCAUUAUAUGUAAUACAUAUAGAACAUGAUCAUUAAUAGCACAAACAAGUUUAUCCAAUAAUUAAUUAACCAAUUACCUUUAAAUUUAGCAGCAGGGCACUUGAAGCCAUCAUUGAUAAUGGCGAUGGACUUGGGCAUCGGAGUGGAUUUCUCUCCCAUCCCAAACUGCGUUCCCUUGAACGCAAUCUUAGCCUGAAUCUGAGUAUAAUCUCCGGCGGUAUCAAUCAUAGUUUUCAAAUCUGUCAUCGGAUACCCGGCAAAGUAUGCCCCUUUGGAUCCAACCUCGGCAGGCAUAUCUCCACCGUCAACCAGCUGAGCUCCUUCCGCGGCCACCAAGAUCUCCCGAUGCUGAAACCCUAUGUACAUCUUCCACGCCUUGAGCUCGGUCGACCCGGCGUUCAAGAUCGACGCCUCCGACUUGAACGCCCAAGCCUGCGCCGACACGUUUUUCAGAUGCGGCAGCAACUUCUCCCUGGAGGUAAACGUAUACGACAAGAAAAUGCCAUCACAGUCUUCUUGCUCGGGAGGAGGAGCUGCCACAACAGCGUCUUCGUCUUGUCCAUAACAAAUCUCAACCCUAAAACAUGAAAACACCAAAAACACCACGAGCAUUGCAUGAAAAAAGGACGUGCGGGACCUCCAGGGCAUUUUCGUGCCCAGAUAACUUGUUUCCGUCAUUGUUUUACACAAUAAUGUGGAGCUUUGAGGUUUCAAAUAUUUUCUUUUGCUUUUGUCUAUUUUUCUGAGGUUGAGGGUUGUUUGCGUGUGUCGCUUAGGAGAGAGACAGAGAGAGAGAUCUAUUGAACAGGAGACGGCCGCGCGAGAACGCGGCGUGUGAGAGAAGCUAUGAAGCCCUGGGAGGUCUGUGUAAACCCCAGGGUAGAGAGAGAUGGCUAGGUAUAAAGAAGAGGAGCGACAUUAAAAGACUGGGUCAAGCCCUAUUUUCUUCCCCUAGUUUUAGCGGCAGGUUCGGAACGUUUUCCAUGCAACCGAAAAUGCUUGUUUUCUGGUAGACAUUGUACGGAACAUAUAUAUGUUACACACGCUAUAAAUAGAUUUCGGUGUCGAGACACGAUGCCGUUUUUGGACUUUCUUUUUCUCUUCUUCUUUCUGGACCAAAAACCUCGAAACGGAGUUUGUUGUGAUCAUCACCUUCUAACUGUUUUGAUCUGGCAAAAAUCGUCACAUAAUUUUCAUUGGACUAGUUUGCUCACCUCGGAUUGCUAACGUGGAAUUUCGAACUAAUUUUAUUUUUAUUUUUAGUAAUCACAACGUUCUAAUUACUAAAAUUUAAAUAAAAUUGGCUUGACGUUCCAUGUCAACAAUUUGAUAGGUCACCAAACUACUCGAUCGAGUGAAAACAUUCAAUCUCUCUUAAGACAUACUUCAAUUGAAUAGUCGUACCAUGUCAUUAUAUAUAGGGUGGUGCUAUUCAUAUACUCAUUUUUACUUCCCAUAUACUCUAUGUUAAUUUUUGUCUUUUGAUUUUCUUCAAUUCACUUCAAUCCAAUGGCCGAAAAUUGAGAAAGAUGUAUGAGAGGUAAAGUGGGGUGUGUGGAUAGCAUCACCCUUAUAUACUGAUGUGUAGAUCUAAUUACUCAAACCAAAAUGUAAUAAUGUACAGAUUUUUGCCUUGAUUCCUCAAAAUUCCAAUACUAACUCAAAGCAAUAAAAACCAUGUACACACCCCUCCAUAGGUUUUUCUAUAAAGGAGAUAUUUCAAUUCAGUCAUACAUAGUACAUACUAAACAAAGACAAUAUGUGAAAGAGUUGAAUCUCUGUUGGACACUAUGAAUCUAUGAUAUGCAUUGCACAAAGGGAUUGGCAUGAAAAAUUAGGUUUAUUUUGUUCCAUCUUCUUUCUUUUGCAGUAUUUUCCUUUUUAUUAAUUCUAUUAAGGGUAUGAUUAAUAUGGAAAAUUAGGAUCUCACUCCUUUUUGAUAAUCUUCUUUGACUAAAACCUUAUUAGUUUUCAAAUUUUUACCAAAGGUCUUUGACUUUGUCCACAUCACCAUUUAACUUGCUAACUUAACAUUAUAUAUUUAUUAUUUUUUAAUAAAACAACCUAAAAUUGACUGUUUAUCUCCUAAAUUUAAGGCAAUUAAGUAUCAUUCUAAAUUUAAUAUGUUCUUAAAUGUUACAUCAUAUUUUCUCACGUUCCUUCUGAAUCAUCUCCAUCUAUUCUUGUUUCCUUGUCUUCUCCAUAGUUCCGACUCCCCUGUGCAGCACCUCCGCCCAUUUCAGUCAUCAAUUUUUUCUUCUUUUUAGUUUUUCUUAAACCAAUAUUUAUAUUUAUUAUUUAAUAUGUGGUUGUCUAUACCUAUAUAGCACAGGUACAAUUCAGUUUCCCUACAUGUAUUUCUUUGGGUGCAAUGUUCUUUUAUUAGUUAAAUUUCAUUAUACAUAUUUCUAUGGGUUCAAUGUUUUUGCGUUGUUUUAGUAUAUGUUCCACGUAAUAAUAUAGGUAUAAUUUCAUUUGGUUGUUGCAUUUUAUGUACCCAUAUGCGUACAAAUCAUUAUAUGUAUAUUGUUUUUCGUUGUAAAAUGUACUAAUUUGUCAGUAUCACUUUUGGUACAUUUUCAUCUAUCUUUUAUGAGGAUAUAGGUAACUUACACAAACUUUUAUGGGCACUAUAUUUGUUGGUAUAUAUCUUCUAUAUAUAAAGCCAAGUUAGCCAACACAAAAGGUGAAUAGUAUUUUUGGUGUCACCAAGCUUCAACAAAAAUAUUUGGACAAAAAUGCCCCCAAGACAAAAAAAAACUUUAAAGGCAUCCCAAAAAAAUGCAUCAAAUAAGGCAGGGGCAUUUUUGUCAUUUUAACAAUGUUUUUUUAAUAAUUAUUUUUUUAAUUAGUGCCUUACAAUAGACUAGCAAUAAUAUGAUUCAAUCAGUUAUUUAUUUAAAAACAUUUUAAGAGGCGUGUAAUGCCGGUUACAAAAAAGGUCUUUCGCACGCACGUGGAUAAUAAUGUGAAUAAAUUAGUUGUCAAAUGAUUAUUUUUUUUGUUUUGGAUAAAUUACAGAGUACCCCCCUCAGGUUUGAGGUCUAUUACAACCUCAUACAUCUUUAAAACAUUUCACUUUCAUACCUCACGUACUAUUUAUUUCAAAAUAAUACCUCCGUUAGAUUUUUCAUCCAUUAUUCUGUUAAGAGCUGACAUAGUUUCCAUAUUUGUGCCACAUGGCAAAUUUUUUUUUUUUAUGCAUUUAAAAAAAUUAAUUAAAGAAAAGUAUAAAAAAAUAAAUAAAAAAAAACCCAUCCCUUCCCCUUCCCUGCAACCCCCCACCCCUCUCCUUCAUUCUCUUCACCUCCCCCAACCGUUCCCUUCCCUUUCCCCGCAACCCAAAUCCCCGCAUCCCACCUCCCCCGCAACCCCUACCCCACCUAUAUUACCCAAAUUUGUUCUAAAACAAAUUACCUGGAAAUGCCAAUUUCAUCUGUCCAGGAUCUCAAUCUCCAACUUGGUGUCGUUUCGGGUUCAAGCCCAGCCAAGAUCGUCGUUGUGUAUUCACUCACGGGUUGGCCCGCUGCUCUAGGAUCCGGGUCGAUCCAACUCGAAGAUCUGUACACCAAAGAGGAGCAAGAGUUGUUAGUCGAACUGAAAGUACGGUUUCCGCCACCAGCGUGGCUGCCAAAUUUGUGGGGUGGGGGGGUUGCGGGGGAAUUGGAGAGUGGGUUUGGUGGGGUGGAAGGGAAAGGAGGAGGCGGCGGGUGUGGCAGGGAGGUGAAGAGGAAGGAGUGGGAGAGAGAAGGGAGGGGAGGUGUAGAGAGUGGGGGAGAAGUGCAUCAGGGAAGAUGGGUUUUAGGAUUUUUUUUUUAAAAUAAUUUUUUUUAAUUAAUUAUUUUUAAAUUCAUAAAAAAAAAAUUUGCCACAUGGCACAAAUGUGGCAUCCACGUUAGCUCUUAAUGGAACAAUGGAUGGAAAAUCUAACAGAGGUAUUAUUUUGAAAUAAAAUAGUAUGUGAGGUAUGAAAGUGAAAUGUUUUAAAGAUGUUGUAUGGGGUUGUAAAAGACCUUAAACCUGAGGGGGUACUAUGUAAUUUACCCUUUUUUUAACAAACAAUAUUAUCUACAAUAAGGGGGAGGGGGUGGGCUUAGUGACACACCCCAACCGGAAUCGAGGCAUGCUGGCCGUGACGUAAGGGUGACGGAGCCAUGAGCGCAGAGCUGAAAUGAUAGUGAUAUAAAAAUGCGAGUAAUUAAAAACCAAAACUAACUAAUUUACACUAGACAAAUAUGAAAGUGCGAGUGAAAGUAUUUAAGGUGUAGAUACACAUAUUCAGAGCAUAGGUAACCUAGAUGCAGUCCAGCCAGCUAGGUAAGAAUUAUACAAGGCACGAAAGAAAUCCCUACAUUAUUUGAAGUCUGUCAGAGCCGCCGUAGAGUCCUCGUAAGUCACCAACAUGAACUUCUAACUAGAACCUGGAGGGGCAUAGAACAGAAAAUGUGAGUGGGCAAAAACAAAGCUUUUCGAAACCAUUUAUCUUUCCAAAAGUAAUAACCCCUCACCGUAAAACCCAUAUAAUUUCCCAGAAAAUAGUAAUACAUACGUAUAUAGAAACCAUGCUCAAGAGUAAUGAAAACCGAGUAUAUGCCAUGUCAAGUGUCUCAACAAUGAAAUAAGUAGGCCAGGUGAAAUAAAUCAAUAUAAAUGAUAUGUCAGCCUGAGUCACCUAACAUGACCUGUAUGACUGAACCUAUAGCUUAACAAAUAUACCUGGACGUCCGCAACAUCAAGCAACAAUAUGCAUAUCUAUACUAAUGCAUACUCUAAAGCAUAAUGCAAUUGAAAUGGCAUUUAAAAAGUAAAUCCAUUUAAACAAUUUCUGGGAAAAUGUAAAGUAUAUAUACGUAUAUAGAAAACCAAAAGCCCAUUCACUAGUAUGUAGCAGGGUCAUAACCCUCGAGUCUCACCUGGCUACGCUCGUCCUCCGGAAACGUCUCAUCUAUAUGGGAAACAACUAAAUUAACAUUAAUUCAAAAGUACAUAACCAAAACUGUGUAAUAACUUCUCAUACAUUGCUCAAUUGGGGUGUUUGAAUAUACCAUCAUGGCCUACUCAACACCACGAGCAUCCUCAUAUUUUUAGAAAAAAUUUCCGAUGACUCACGCGCUCUCACGCGCCAACCAUGCGCAGGCACGUGCCUGGCACACUGACGGAAUCCCUAACGGCGUUAGGGAAUAUUCUGUUAAAUAGAAGCAUAUACCAUUAUAUAUACUUGAUGUUGUUAGUAUAUUCCGUCAAAGUUGACGGAAUAUUCUUCUUUCUUCUCCAAUGGUUCACCGGAUUCCGGUACUGAUGCCGCUGUGUCGCCGGUUUCUAGAAAAAUCUAAAACUUCAAUAUCUCUCUCAUUUCUCAACCAAAAUUCACAAAUUUCAUAUGGAUUUGAAGCUCUUGAAGUAUAGAACACAACCAUACCGAUUUGAAGUCCUAAAAUCGACGAAAAAUGGUCAGAAAAACCUUCGAAACCUCUGGGUAAACCUGUAACUCGGUGAAUCCUUUUAUCCCGACGUCCUAUCCACUCCAAAACUAACCUAGGGUCCCUUUAAAGUUGAUUAGGACCCCUUUAGAACCUUAAAACCUUGUAGAACUUCGGCGAUCAUGUCGGAGUAAACUUCCACCUCGCUGUAGCUCGUGUGUUCUCGGGUUUUUGAACUCCUUUCUUCGAACCAAUGGUACCACCAGGCUUGUGAAGUCAAGAUGAGGGUGAUGAUAACCUUAGUGGGUUUGAUCUGUGACAUUUUGAUGCUGUUUGAAAGUUGGAAGGCUCGGGUCGUACGGACGAUAGAAAAUUCAAGAGAAAUGGUGAGGGUGAGAGUUACGUACGUGUGUGUGUAGGUGUGUCAGUGUGGGUUGCGAGAUUGGGCAGCAUAAAAGGAUCAUAAGCCCUGAUUAGGCUAUGUGAUUUAGGGCCUAACAAUUUGUCCAAAAGAAAUAAAACAAGGGUAAAAAUUCUAAUUGGUUCAAGGUUGUAGGAAAAGAAGAUAAUUGGUGGAUAGGUUAUGGACAACCCAAUAUUAUAACUCUACCCAAUUACACAUAUUCGUUCGUAACUUCCUCAUCACAACUCUAGUUGAGCCUAACUCACGUCAAUGUUCUUAUGACGUCACGUAUCACGUAUAAUUUGAUCACGUAAGCUGGAAAAAAAUAAUUAAAACUAUAAAUGUAGAUCCACGUCACUAAGCCUUGAGGGCAUUAUCGUCACUUUACAUACUCGGGGAUAAAAUAUAUACCAUAAAUUGGGAUGGGUCGUCACAAUUUGCCUCAUAAUGGGCUAGCAAUAAUGUGAUUCAAUCAGUUGUUUAUUAAAUAUUACUCUCUAUUUUUAAACAUGUUCAAAACAUCUUAAAAGGUGUGUAAUGCGGGUUAUAAAAAAGGCCUUUUGCAUGCGGAUAAUAAUGACAUGCCCCAACCCCGAUAUCCCCACAUACAGGCACGUGCUGGCCGACACCUGGGGGUUACAAAGUCAUUUUAAACAUGCAUACAAAUAAAAUAAGUAAUUAGAAAGAUUAUGCCAAAGUAGGAAUGAGUUCAGAGCAUACAACUAAUCAAAAAUAAUAUGAAGUACAAUAAAAAUGUACGAAUAAAGGAAUGAUACCUACACUGAGAAGACUCGAAGAUACCUAUGCAUAAGUGUCUUGAUGCCGGGAUCGUAUGCCUUGAUUCUAAUUCCUGAAGGGGCGCAAAAACCAAAGGGUGAGUGGACCAAAGUCUAUAACGAUAAUAAUACUAAUAAUAAGAAAAUCAUUUUCUUUCUGAACAUACUAACCCCCUAUUUUGAAAACACAUAUAAUACUACAUAGUAGGUUUUCUGAAAAAUCCUAGCAUGCCAUGAAAAACAUUCAUAAAACAUGUGUGUAUAAACCAAUAUUUAGAAAUGGUAGUAUUGUCGCCCGAAGGUAAAUCCGUAAAACAUCCAUCAAUCACAUUAGUGAUGUACUUAACUAGGGAUAUCAUAGUCGCCCGAAGGCAGUACUUUAUCAUUACCUAAAGGUGAAGCUAUACUACACUAGGUUACACCAAUGAAGAAAAUCAUGGUCCAUCACCCGAAGGUGAAGUUGUAUGACUCUGGGUUACGCUAGAGAAGAGAUAUAUAACAUCACACACCAACACUACCUUCGGGCUAGUGAAGCUGGGGGUAUCAUCAUAAUCGCCCUAAGGCAGUACCUGUCCAUCACCCGAAUGUGAAGCUGUAUGACACUGAGUUACGCCAGUGAAGAAAAUCAUGGUCCAUCACCCGAAAGUGAAGUUGUACGACUCUGGGUUAUGCCAGAGAAGAGAUAUAUACAUAAACAUCCUCAACUGUGUCUUAUGGCCAUAGAUGUCUACAUAACCAUGUUGUGUGGAUGUGUUGUAUGAUAACCUACUAGAUAAGCACCGAAAGCAUACCUCAAAAACUCAUGCCAAAUCAUUAAAGCUCAAAAGCUCAAAACCUCGUCUCAUAAAUCCAUAAUAAGUCAUAUCCGUAAAUCCAUGGAAUCUCAUAUUUGUAAAUCUGUAAAAUAAAUCAUAUUCGUAAUCCAUAGAAAUUCAUAUACAUAAAUCAAACAAUUCAUAACCUUUAGUAAAACGUAAAUUUGAUAAAUCAUAAAUAUUCCAUAAAAGUAAUUCAAAUAAAUCGUAAUUUCUCCAUAACCAUAAUUAUAGAAAUCCAUAAAACAUAUUAUAAAACAUACUCAAAUCAGGAAAUAUGAAAUGCAUGUUAGGCUAAUAUUUUAUAAAAACAUGUAAGUUAAGAAAGGAUCCACUACAAGUAUUUCAUUGCCUGGAGGCCGCUCGAACUAGCGAGGAUGGUGCCACUUCCCAUUGAUACACCUAAACACAUAUAGGAACCAUUUAGUAAAACUCUACUAAAACGGUCGAAUUUGGAAAAACGGAUAGCGGAGUCGGAUUCGGCAUGUCGAAAAACCUAAGGAGCCCCACUCGCCGCUAUAAGGCAGCGGCCCUGGAGAACACACGCCGGCCGUGACGCACACCCACACAUAGGCCAUACGCUGGCCUAGGAAACUGGAAUUGGGUCCAGGUUUGAGCUUGGAUAGAUGGAUUGGGCAUGGGUUACUGGGUAGGAUUGGGUUAGGGUUAAUGGGAGAGUGGUGGUGGUGAUUCUUGAAGAGGGAAAGGGUUGCAGAGAUGGGGGAGGGACAAGAAGAGAGAGAAGGAAUGAGAGCUAAGGGAGAAAAGAGAAGUCACAGAAGAGAAAUGAGAGGGAGAGAGUUCCAGAAGAUUGGGGACCAAUCUGUAAGUCCCACAUGGCAGAAAUUAUUAAAAUUGUUUGUACCAUACUUGACCAAUCCCGAAACUACUGAGCACCGGUCAACGUUAUACCGUCAAGGACCCAGAAGAGUUUCCCUCCAACCAAGAGGCCAAUCACAACGCGACACGUGUCGACAUCAGAAGCCAAUCAUAGCGCGACACGUGUCUACAUCAGAAGCCAAUCACAACACGACACGUGUCAAUGUCAAAAUGAAACUAGAAACUCUCUUCUAUAAAUAGAGAUCAUUCUCUCACAAUAUUUCCUAAUGUCAUUUGUACUAAAUCAUUCACUUGUACUCACUAAAUGAGAGCUUGAACCUAUGUACUUGUGUAAACCCUUCACAAUUAAUGAGAACUCCUCUACUCCGUGGACGUAGCCAAUCUGGGUGAACCACGUACAUCUUGUGUUUGCUUCCCUGUCUCUAUCCAUUUACAUACUUAUUCACACUAGUGACCGGAGCAAUCUAGCGAAAGUCACAAACUUAACACUUUCUGUUGUACCAAAGUCCUCAUUGAUUUUGUGCAUCAACAAAAAUAAUAACAAUAUCUAACCCUAAUAUCUAGAAUAUUGAAAUGACUAUUUUGCCCCUUAACUUUGAAGUUCCGUAAAACGUUCAUCGUAACUCCAAUUCCGAUUUCGCUUGCGCCCACACGCUCGUAGCGAUGAGUGCUACAAGGAUACUCCAAGAAAAAGAACCUUAUGUGACAAGUCAAUGCUUUUUCCUUAAAUGACAUUUUCGUAAAUUCACGCUUUAAAAUUAUAAAAACCGUGAUAUUUGGGGACAUAUCGUUACAAUCUACCCCCUUAAGAAAAUUUCAUCCCCGAAAUUUGAAAUAACUUCCUAUAAAAAAAAUAUACUCGAAAAUAGGGAGAAAAUAUUUAUAUAAAUAUAAGGAAGAAAUCAAGUUAGAGUAGCUACAUAAAAGAGAAUGUCAUUCCGUCACGAUUGGAUUGCAAUGAUUUCUCUUUCAUGCCUCCAAGCUCAUACCUUCUUCCUUCCUAAAUAUAAUAGUAUGAUACUCGUAUAAAAAUAUAAAGUUGAAAAUACAAAUUAUCAUGUACUAACAUAAGGUCAAAAAUAUAUGUGUAUAAUAAGAUGACGUUAAAAUAAGUAUAUACUAACGUAGGAUUCAAAUACUUGUCCUGAGUUUAAAAUCAAAAUCAAAAUUACUCACCCAAAAAUUUGUAUUAGCGAAAAAAAAAAAAAACACACACACACAUAUAUAUAGAUAAUGUAGUUUAAAAAUAUUUGCACGGAAAAUCAAAACCCAAAAUGAAAAUGGGCCUUGCCUAAGCACUCGUCAUGUCACGUACUCUGAGAAUGGGUAUGCCUUGAGUCGAGUCCUAAUUAUAGCUAACUAAUAACUUCUACUAGACGGGCUAACUUGCCCACUUGCUUAGCGAACCUAACAAUUAAGCCAUCGAUAUACAGUCUAUAGCCUGUAAUGCCGAUAACUCAUCGUUGUCUCAGUAAGCAAAUGAGAAGUUCUCGAAGGUGCCACAAUUUCCAUUUUGCUCCUCAAUGUGAGAAUGUGCCUAGAUUGUCCGAUUUAUGCUUUGAUUGCGUUGUCACACUACCCCAAAACGCUGUAACCAGAGAUACCAAAAGUACUUCGACAUCCAUGUACACACGAACAGUAAAGUCCUGGGGUGAAAUAGUUGAAAGUUGCGUAAGGGCGAACACUUGUCGUAAAACAUUUCUUUCGUAACUAAUCACAAUCGUCGUUUUCUAAUCGAGAAGUAUAAAAUUUGAAACCUAUAAUAGAGGAACUAUCACUCUGACCAAUUCUUUCGAAUGACAGAUGCAGUCUCAAGCCACACAUAGAAAUUGACGCUCCAAUCACCAUGCUCAGCAUCUACAUUUAUACUUUCAUCAAUACCAUGCUAAAAGACUGUUCAAUCCUCAAGGCUACUUGGAAGUCUUCCUGGUAAGUCUAAUAAGUUGGUGAAAAGAUUAUGCUCCUAACGUUCCGAUCAAAACCAAUAUAAAACUGAACCCAUUCAGCCGAGUUGAUCCAUCGUGAAUUACUCACGGAUUUAGCGAGAAACCAUGUCGAGAAGGCUAAAAGAACACUCAAGAAUUUAAAGGACAAAACAAGUCCAUUAAAUCUAGAGUACAAGAUAUUGGAUUGAAUAUACAAUUUCGAUGCCUGAAUGCGUAUAAGUAUCUAACUUGAUCAUGUGAUAGCAAUUUGAAAUGGUCAAAUACUAACUCAACUUGAACGAUGGCUUAAGGAAACUGACGAAUGGAGACUUGGAUUUUUCCCUCGAUUCAAAAUUCACAACGAUUCCGUACAACAGUAACUCCAGGAAUAUUAAAUUACCAAUGGUGAGUUUCACUUGAUAGGAUGUUGAUUGGGUGAUUCAAGGACUGAUGGUCUCAACUAAAAACUUCCAACGUCUGGGUGGUCCUCUUGAACGGUCUGUCUACUGCAAAAAUGAUACAAAGAACAGAAUAGUGACCCAAGAUUGACUAAAACAUCAUUUAGUACCCGGAGGUGAAACUGAGAUUAUGAACAAAGCCGAUGCAAACCAAAACGUCAAAGAGCCUAACAAAUUUGAAAAUGAAGAAUUAUGCCGAAAGGACUAAACAUUUCCUUUGUCAUCUCAGGCCAAAGGUAGAAAGUUCGAACUUGAAAAUUAGCUAACAAGGUUUCUAGAUAACCAAAAAGUAACGUUACAAGAUUAUUCAAGAUCAUGUUGCAUUAGCGCACAACCACCCAUUCUGUAAGGCGUCACCGUAAGAUUCAAAAUUUAUUGAUGGCAUCGAAGAGUAUAAGAACAAUGGUAGGGUAAGGCAACAUCUCGAACAAAACUGAUUUGUUUCCUAGUCAAAGAUGAGGGUUUAGGUAAUGAUCAGAGAAAUGAUGGCAACUGUUGAUAAAAAUCGAAAAGGUCAAUGAUAUUUCGUGAUUCACGACACUCGAGAAGAUUUUGAUUUCCAAUCGUCACAACUUCGGAUUUGAUAAAAAUAUCUUCUGCUACGCUCACGCCUCCCAAGAAAGGUAUAUAAUCUAAGCAAGGUCAUCAUUUGGGGGAAUUUGGUAUAAAGCUGGUUGUGGAUGUUUAAUAAACUGACCUCGUGGUUGGAGUAGACAAGGAUGUUAUCAGUAAACAAUCACUGAGGGUUCACAUGAAUUCUCUUAGGGGAAACAUUAAGCCCGAGGAAAAUGGUUUAGUCUACCCCAUAUAUGCCUACUAACUCCACUUAAAACUGGUGCUUCCUUAAUUUUCUCUAACACGAACUUCGAAUAUCUUAAGCAAUCUCCCAAUAAGUAUGCCUUUGCCCGCCAUUCCUAAGGAACGCAUAACGCAGAAUAUCAAUCCAAUGUUGAAAGUCAUUCAUCAAUCAACUACGUCAAGCACAAUCCUAACACGAAUUUCUUAAACUUCUAAUAGGAUGUGACUAUUCAGGCAGAAUGAAGAUUGCACAACUAUGCUGAAGAACAUCAAUAAACAGAAGCUAUGACAUCCAAAUGAUAUCAAGGCCGACAAACUACUAGAACAGGAGAAGAUCCUAAGUAUGCUCUGAACAAACCAUGCUCUAAUACCAAACCGACAUGCCUCAACCCCAAUAUCCCCACAUACCAGGGUAGGCACGUUUUAGCCGACACCCGAGGGUGACGAAGUCAUUUUAAACAUGCACACAAAUAAAAUAAGUAAUUAGAAAGAUUAUGCCAAAGUAGGUAUGCGUUCAGAGCAUACAACUAAUCAAGAAUAAUAUGAAGGAAUUAUAAUACAAAUGUACGAAUAAAGGAAUGAGACCUACACUGAGAAGACUCGAAGAUACCUAUGCAGAAGUGCCCUGAUGCUGGGAUCGUAUGCCUCGAUUCUAACUCUUGAGGGGGCGCAAAAACCAAAGGGUGAGUGGACCAAAGUUUAUAAUAAUAAUAAUACUAAUACUAAUAAUAAGAAAAUCAUUUUCUUUCUGAACAUAUUAACCCCCUGUUUUGAAAACACAUAUAAUACUUCAUAGUAGGUUUUCUGAAAAUCCUAGCAUGCCAUGAAAAACAUUCAUAAAACAUGUGUGUAUAAACCAAUGUUCAGAAAUGGUAGUAUCGUUGCCCGAAGGUAAAUCCGUAAAACAUCUGUAAAUCAUGUCAGUGACGUACUUAACUAGGGGUAUCAUAAUCAUCAAAAGGCAGUACAUGUCUGUCACCCGAAGGUGAAGUUGUACGACACUAGGUUACACCAAUGAAGAAAAUCAUGGUCCAUCACCCGAAGGUGAAGCUACACGACUCUGUGUUACACUAAAGAUUAGAUAUAUAACAUCGCACAUCGACACUAGCCCCUAGCUAAUGAAGCUGAGGGUAUCGUCAUAAUCGUCUGAAGGCAGUACUUGUCCAUCACUUGAAUGUGAAGCUGUACGACACUGGGUUACGUCAGUGAAGAAAAUCAUGGUCCAUCACCCGAAAGUGAAGUUGUACAACUCUGGGUUACACCAGAGAAAAGAUAUAUACAUAAACAUCCUCAAUUGUGUCCUAUGGCCAUAGACGUCUACAUACCCGUGUUGUGUGGAUGUGUUGUAUGAUAACCCACUGGAUAAGCACAAAAAACAUACCUCAAAAACUCAUUCCAAGUCACCAGAGCUCAAAAGCUCAAAACCUCGUCUCAUAAAUCCAUAGUAAGUCAUAUCCAUAAAUCAUAUUCGAAAUCCAUAGAAAUUCAUAUACACAAAUCAAAUAAUUCAUAACCUUUAGUAAAACGUAAAUUUGAUAAAUCAUAACUAUUUUGUAAAAGCAAUUUAAAUAAAUCGUAAAUUCUCCAUAACCAUAAUUAUAGAAAUCCGUAAAACAUAUUAUAAAACAUACUCAAACCAUGAAAUAUGAAAUGCAUGAUAGGCUAAUAUUUUAUAAAAACACGUAAGUUAAGAAGGGAUCCACUCACAAGUAUUCCAUAGUCAGGGGGCCACUCGAACUAGCGAGGUUAGUGCCACUUCCCACCAACACACUUAAACACAUUUAGGAACCAUUUAGUGAAACUCUACUGAAACGGUCGAAUUUGGGAAAACGGACAGGGGAUUUAGAUUCAGAUUCAGAACGUCAAAAAACCUAAUAAGGGACAUUAGGUUCCCCACGCGCCGCCACAAGGCGGCUGCCUAGAAAGCCAUGUGUUAAGAUACCGGAAAAGUCGUCGGCACCGCCAUAGACGACGGUAAAGCACAGUACCUCUAGCGGAGGCGCUUGUGCUCCACGCACCGGCCAUGACGGGCACCCACGUGCCGACCCAGGAAACUGGAAGUGGGUACAGGUUUGGGCAUGGAUAGCUUGGUAAUCCGUGUGUCUCCAUUCGAGUUCGAGGGUGUAACAGAGGAUUGGUAACAUAGGUUAUGGUGCUCGUAGGAGAGAAUAGCGAGCGGUGGUGGUGAUUCUUGGAGAGGGAAAAGGUUGCAGAGAUGGGGGAGAGACAAGGAAAGAGAGAAGGAAUGAAAGCUGGAAGAGAAAAGAGAAGUCACGAGUGAGAAAUGAGAGGGAUAGAGUUCCAGAAGAUUGGGGACCAAUAUGUGGGUCCCACGUGGAAGAAAUUAUUAAAAUAAUAACAAUAUCUAACCCCAAUAUCUAGAAUAGUGAAAUGACUAUUUUGCCCCUCGACUUCAAAGUUCCGUUAAACGAUCAUCGUAACUCCAAUUCCGAUCCUGCUUAUGCCCACAUGCUCAUAGUGACGAGUGUUACAAGGAUACGCCAAGGAAAUGAACCUUACGUGACACGACACGGUGGUCAACAAAAGUCAACGUUUUUGCCUCAAAAGGGCAUUUUCGUAAAUUCACACUUUAAAAUUAUAAAAACCAUGAUAUUUGGGGACGGGUCAUUACAAAUAAUGUGAUUAAAUUAGUUGUCAAAUGAUUUUUUUUUUUAACAAAUGAUAUUAUCUACCCUAAGGGGAGGGGUGGGCUUAGCCUCACAAUGAGCUAGCAAUAAUAUGAUUCAAUCAAUUAUUUAUUAAAUAUUAUUUUCUCUAUUCUUAAUGUAAAUUCUAUAGAGAUCGAUUUUAUUAUAUGAAUUCAGCUGCUUUAAUUGGUUUAUGAGGGGUUUCUCCUAGUAUGAUCUAAGAUUAUUCAUUUACUUCAAAUAUUUGAGUUUCCUUUUGUCAGUUUACGCAUAUAAAUACGUUUAAAGUGUGUAAGUCGCACGUAGGCAGCGGAAUUUUCAUCAUUUUAACAGUGUUUUUUUUAAUAAUUAAUUUUUUUGUAAGUUCUUUUUAAAAUAUAGAAAAUAAUAUUGAAUGAACAGUUGAAUGAAGAAUGUGAUUCAAUCAGCUGUUCAUUCAAUAUUAUUUUCUCUAUUUUUAAACACGUUCAAAACAUCUUAAGAGACAUGCAAUGCUGGUUAAAAAAAGUCUUUCGCAUGAGGAUAAUAAUGUGAUUAAAUUAGUUGUCAAAUGAUUUUUUUUUAACAAACGAUAUUAUCUACACUAAGGGGGAUGAGGUGGGCUUAGCCUCAUAAUGGGGUAGCAGUAAUGUGAUUCAAUCAAUUGUUUAUUAAUUUUCUCUAUUGUUAAUGUAAAUUUUAUAGAGACCGAUUUUAUUAUGUGGAUUCAGUUACUUUAAUUGGUUCAUGAGGGGUUUCUUCUAGCAUGAUCUAAGAUUAUUCAUUUACUUCAAAUAUUUGACUUUCCUUUUGUCAAUUUACGCAUAUAAAUACAUUUAAAACGUGUAAGUUGCGCGCUGCACGCUAUUAUUCAAAAAAUGUCUUUUGCACGCACAUGAGUGCGUGCAUGAAGGCUAGUGUGUGUGUGUGUGUGUGUAGGUACAUUUUUUUGCGCUGUUUGAGAAUGUAUCCAUGUGGAGUUUGUUAUUAGGUUUUUUUUUUUUAUGGAAGAAUGUAUCCAUGUUUAUGGGUUUGAAGAAUCUAUCAAUAUUUUGUGAUACAUUAUUUUUGUCAUUGAUUUGAUGAAUGUACGUGCGCGUGCACACACACACACAUGUAUAUAUGUAAAAAUAAAAAUAAAUAAAUAAAAACUAUUAUUAUUAUUAAGGAGAAGGUUCGAAACUAUUACAAUAAUUUAAGAGAUGAAGGAGUUUCAAACAUAUGACUCAUGGGUGGAAACCCAACACCCUAUCCACGUGAUAUUGAACCACAUAUGUACAUUAUUUUUUAUGGAAAACUAACCAAAAUGAUCAAAAAGGUUUCGUUUUAAUCAUCAGGACAGAAUUUUACAAAAAUACCAAUCCUGCCCUUCAAACAUCCUUACAAGAUUGGGUCAGUAUUCUGCAAAGUUCACCAAAGAAUACAUCCAAAAGAAGAUUUUCAAAAAAUAUUGGCAUGCAAAAGAAAAUGUGACAAACAUUGCAACAACCAAGACAACAUGGAUUCACAUGCAAAAGAAAAUGUGGCAAACAUUGCAGCAACCACGACAACAUAAAUUCACAUGACAUUCAAGCAGAGACAAGAUAGCCAGCUUUCAAAAACAGUGCUGACAGCUUUCAGAAACAGUGUGUUGUCACUAUUCAAAAAGUUGUAAAUAGUUGAAACGUAUUCUAUCUUAGGUUUUGCAUAUAAGGGAGCUUUUCCUUCCAUACAGAACACACCUUACAACCUCUCAACACCUCAAUAUCUUAACACAGUAGAGACACACCAUCCUUCAAUCCUCAUACACUCAAGCAUCCAAAACCUUCCUAGCAUCCUUUGUAAACACUUCUCUUUGUAAACAUUCUAUAUAUCAACAAAAGUUCAAGUGUACAUAUUCAAGCAAUCUCCAAGUCUUAAGUAAGUUUUCUUUUCUUUCUUUAGUGUGUUUGUUUAAUCAGACUUCUAGUCUAAAACAGGGAAACACUAUUGUAGUUAUAUUAUUAAUCUGCUAAACUGACGAUCAUACUUUGUUCAAGCACUCUGUUAUAGUUGAAUGCUUGCCAUUCAAAUAACUGGACAUUAACUAGGGUACCUCUGAGUUCUUUGUACCUCUGAGUUCAGCCUUUAAGGCUUUAUACUUGUACUGUGAGUGGCCGUCAUGCUGAAACAUGUCGAGUUCCAUGUGCAAGGUUUUAUGUCUAGUUAUCAUAAUGGUUAUCCGACUAUUUAACCGGGCAUGCGUUGCGAAUUUGGUAUCAAAGCCAAGUUUAGCAUUUUAAUAGUAUAAUUAUAAUAGUAAAGUACCUUGAGGACGGAAGUCAUUAACACAGCUGAUAUCACACUUGUUUAUUUUGUAUGAAUAACAUAUAUUAUUGUCCUUGGAGACCUUGUCAGCCACAACCACCAGGUAUUUAUUGUUCCAGACAUCCAACUAUAAAUAGCAUAAAGAGAAGAUUAGCAUAUAUAUCCAAAAGAAUUACCAGUACUUUGAAGAAGCAGAAGUUUUAUCUUGGUUAUCUUGAACAUCCUUCAUUUAUUCGUAAAUAUAAUAAUACAGAAGUUCAGCAUAAAGUUUUAGAAGCAAAAAGAGCAACAUAUCAAGUUUUAGGGACCCUGAGAGAAGAAAGAGAGUUUCUAAGAAACAAUUAGCUGUAACUUUAGAGAAAGGUUGAUUGUAGUUUAUGAUAGAUUAUCUUAAUUUAGAAAUUAGUGAACCACAAAAAAGAAAAAUAACCUUAGAACAAAAUAUUUUAGUUUGUUAUUUUCCAUUAAGAAAGCAUAAUCAUAUUUUGCAUAGUGAAAAAAAUCCACAAGCCAAUAGUAUUGUAGAUCUUAUUAUUAGUCAAGCAGAAAAUAUUAAAUUAGAAAAUAAUAAGCAUAAUCAUUUGUUAAACCAGUUGAUAGAGCAUUUUCAGAAAACUCUAUAAAAACAAUUAGACAAAAUUUAGACUAUAUUACAUCUCAGUUAAAAGAUAAUAAUAAAAAUAUUCAAAGGUUUCCUAGCAAAAGAGAGAUGAAAGAGCUUGUUGAUCUCAUAGAUAGUAAGCCGAAGCAAAUAGAAUUUAGAUCAUUAGAAAUAGUUGAGCAGUUAAAAUUAGAAGUUCAAAAAAUUCAAUUAGUACAAAAAGAGUUAAGUGAACAAGUAGAUAAGUUACAUAAUAAAAUAUAAAUUAUUAGUUUAAUUACUGAUUCUAGAACUAGUAGAAAAUAUAUUCAAGUUUUGAAAGAAAUUAGUAAGUUAGAUAAAGAACCAGUAGAUUUAACAGAUUUUUUAACACAAAUAUCCAGUGGUAAUAUUCCCAUUAGGCAAAAUAAUUUGAUUAUUCAAUUAAUUUUAAGUUUGGCUGAAAAAUUAGAUCAAGUUGAAGAACAAAUAACAUAAAUAAACCAAGUUUUACAUAACGCAUCUUCAUCACUUCCACCAUCCUUGCUAGAUAAAUUAGAAAACUUAACUUUAAGUGCAAAUAAUAAUACUAAAAAACCUAAGCUAAAUCCUUUUGAUAAUAAAAAAUGGAACUCUUUAGGAAAAAAGGAAAAGAAGUAGUUAGAGCUGAAGAUAUUUAUCCAAAUGAAGAAGAAGCACAAGAAUUUAUUCAAAGAGGUUUUGAGAGAAUACAAAAAAAUAAAUAUAACUUGUAUCAAUUAGGUUUAUUUGAAAACAGAAGUAGAAUUGUAAGUAGCAUCAGUCAACAUGAAGUUAGCUGUAUUGAUAAAGAAGUCACACUUAAUGUAAUUAGUAAAGAAUCAGUUACUCAUUUAAGAAAAUCAAAUUUUAGCCGUAUUCAUAUAGGAACAAUAUUAAUUGGAAUAGUAGGAUUAACCAGAGCACAAGUAGGCACAAAAACAUUAGUAUACAUAUAAGAUGAUAGAUGGGAUAAUCACCAACAAACAGUAAUAGCAACAGCUGAAGUAGACUUAAGUUUAAACUUAGCAGUCAUAGGUUGUAAUCCAAAUUAUGUUAUAACGAUUAAUGAAUUUAGUAAAUAUAUUAAAGUAAGCAUAAGAACAAAAAAUUAUAAUAUGAAAGGAGAGCAUAAAAAUUUUUGUAUUAGCUUAAUGUAUAUAGGUAAAGUGUCUGAUAGAUAUAAUCAUAAGUUUAAUUUAGAGUUUCAAAAUUUAGUUCAAACUUUUGGUAGUAAACAUGUAAAUAUGAUAGAAGCAAAACCCGUAGAUAAUAACUUUUUAGAAUGAACUCAGUGGACAUUACCUAAUUUACAAGUAGCAACAAAUAGACAACCAGAUAAAGUACAAAUAUAUGAAACUAGUACAGGUCAAGCAACAAUUAGGUUUAGUAAUUAUAAGCAACUAGAAAAAAUAGAAGAAGAUGAAAGUGAAAUCGAAAAUGAGAGUAUACAUAUGGUUUUUGAUAAUUUAGAUAUUAAUUUAAUUGAGCAAAACUUUGAUCAUAUUGUAGAUAUGCUUAUGGAAGAUAUUCAUCAUUUAGAUGAAGAAUAAUAUUUGGAAAAAUAUAAGACAUAUGAUUUAGGACUACAUAGAAUUUCAGACGAAUAGAUGAAAAAAAUUAAUCUUAAAACUAGGAGUAGAACAUAUUUUAGGAUCAAAAGAAUAUAAUAAUUUAUUAGAAUUGAAAGCAUAAUGUAAUCCAGCAAAAGAAAGUAGUACAUCAGGAGUAGAAAAUCCAGGACACGCAAGAAUAACUGAUCAACAAUUUUUUAGACCAACAAAUGAACAAUAUAAUGAAAAAGCAAAAUUAGAUUAUAUAGAACAAAGUAUCAUAAAACCUAGAAAAAAUAGGAUUUCAUAUUUGAGAGGGUUAGAAAAAAUUAAUAUAGCUGCUAAUAUAUUAAAUUUAGAUAGUGUAGAUCCACAAGAUUGGGAAAGAACAAUUGAGAAAUGGGAAAAAGGCUGCGUACAUGCAGCAUUAAUGUUAGAUUUUAGUAAUUCACAAAAUAUGUUAGAUUACUUUGAGCAUACUUUGGAUGGUUUAGUUUUUUAUUAUUUCCGGUCAUGGAAAGCCCAAAAUCCAGAACAACAUCAGGUAGCUAAAACACAUUUUAAUAUUGAUGAUUUUGUUACUUUGAUUAAAUAAGAAUUUUUAGAUCAUAAUAGGUUAGAUGGCAGAAGCGAAUAAGAACAAAUAAGAGCAAUUAGAAAUUUAGAACAAAUACAAAUUUAUGAUUUACAAUAUAUAGCUGAAUAUACCACAUAUUUCUUUAAAUAUUUAGGAAGAACAUGUAGAAUUAGUGAUAUUAAUUUAUUAGAUACUUAUAUGACAAAAAUAAAAGGACCAAUAGAUGAAAAUAUUUGGAAUGAAUGACAAAAGCAUCCAAAGAAGAAUGAUAUUGUAAUAGGACCUAGAAUUCAACAUGUAUAUGAUAUACUUAGACAAGUUAAGAGACAAAUUAGGAAACAAUUUUACAUGAGUUGUAAAAAUAUAGAUUUACCACAACAAUAUGGUUACCAUAAGAAAAAUAAGCAUAAGAAAAUAUACAAAAAGAAAUAUAAGUUAUAUAAACCCUACAAACAGCAGAAGAGAAUUUCAGUAUAAGACCUUCAAGAACAUAUAGGAAGAGAAAACAUAUUCCAAAACAAUUUAGAAAAAGAAGUGGCAGACCUUGGAUUAGAGAAUAUAAAGCGCCAAAAGAUAAGAGUAGUUGUAAAGGUUAUUCAUGUGGAGAAGCUGGACAUAUUAGACCUAAAUGUCCAAAAUUAGGUAAACAGUAGAAAGAAAAAAUACAUUUGAUGGAGUUGUUUAAGUUAGAAGAAGAUGAGCAUAUUCAGUCAAUAUAUAGUAUAGAUGAUUUAAGUGAUAAUAAGAUUAUUUAUAGUAUAGAGUGUAUUAACAUGAUAGAUUCAGACUCGGAAGAUUCAAGUAGCACAAAUAGUGAUCUAGAAGAGUAUAUGUGUGCAUUCAUAAAAGAAUAGCAUGAAGAAGAAUAUAAAUACAUUAAUUUAGGUUGGCCAGAAAAAUGUCAUAAGUGUAGUAAAUUAGUUGCAAAUAAAUACUAUAAUACAUAUUCAAUAUUAUGUGAAAAGUGUUAUAGUAAUAGGUUAUUAGAAGUUAAUUCAAUAGAAUCACAAGAAAGAACUAAAAUAUUAGGAAAUAUUGUUCAUAGUAUAGAAAAACCAAAAAAUAGUUCUUUAAUUACCAUAAAUUGUGAAAUAGAAUUAGCAAAAGUUCAUAAGAUACAAACAACAGUUAUGAUAGAUACAGGGAGUACAAAGAGUGUCAUAAGAAAAUAGUUAGUACCAUAAAAAUAUAGACAAAAAUUAGCAAAACCAGUAAGAAUAACACAAUUUGAUGAGAGACCAGUUUACUUAACACAUUGUAUAAAUAAUGAGUUUAUUAAAGUAGAAAAACAACAAUUUAAUUUACCAUUAACAUUUGUUUCACCAGUAGGAUCAUAUCCAUUCAUUUUAGGUUUAAACUUUUUGAAAAAUUUAUAAGGUUUUUUAUUUACGAACCCUAACAUAACAUUUUUCAAAAGAAGCAUUACAAUAACUGACCAAAGUAAUGAUGUAGAAGCAUACAAAAACAUAAGUAUAGAAGAGUCUAGUGGCCAAGAUAGUUAUCAUUUAGAAAACUCAAAAGAAAAUGAUGAGCAUAAUAAUGUAGAAGAGUUUGAUGAAGACAUAUUUGAACAUGAAUAUUCAAUUUUAGAAUAAGGAAACCGUAUAGAAAUAUUACAGUUAAGUAAACCAAGGAGUUUAGAAGAAUUAUUACAAUUAGCAGAACAAACUAGAUGUUUGGGUUAAAACUAAACUUUAGGCCCAAGGAUGGAGUCGGCCCAAAAGGGGGCCUAGAGGAAUAGAAGAUCAAAGCCCAGCCGAAACUUGGGAAGGCAGGAAAGGGCCUUUUCUGACUUGAUACUAAUCACAAAGGCCACUUGCCUACCUACCCAAGGACCAAGUGGUGUAGACUGAUCAGACUGCACAACCCAUAAAGUACUUUAUGGUGGCAUUACAUGUAAUAAAGCUGAUGAGUCAUCACUCUCAGACCGCAUUCGGGCAAAGCUGUUGCUACAGGAGCCAAACCGAGUAGUCUAUAAAAAGAGGAAGAGAAGACAGGAAUAAAGACACUCAAACAAACAAACAAAUGCAAGCCAAAACUCUGCUCAAAGCCAGAUUUGCCUUCCAAACGAAGCUGUAGUCAGCCAAGCCUUCAUCCCAUUCGGGACCAACCUUUAUCCCCCGCGGGAUACUCUUUUCUCCUAAACUUUGUAAUAGCUCUGCUACCCUGCUCUAACUUGUUGUAGUAUCGAUUCACCCUUUUGUAUUCUCAUUCCCCCUCUCCACCUCUAAGCUUUCAGACCUUUGACAGAACCACAAAGAUAGGGACCUGCAAGACGAUCAGCCUUAAUUGAUAAGGUUUAAUCUUGCCCGACCUGCUUUGUUCUAUCUUUGUCUUCUCUUUCUUUAAAGUCUAGCAAUAUGUUGUAUAUUUUUAGUUAUAUGCAAGUCUGUUCCUAGCAAAAUCACUAUGACAAAGCUUUCUCAAUACUUGGAUCCGAUUUAAAUAUAUCUUCGAUGCUUAAAUCAGAUCCAAGUCCUAAGCCCGCAGGCAUGUAAAUCUGAUUAGUUUAAAAGUCCUUGGCCUCAAGGCAUAAAAAAGAACUUUAUGUGGACUUAACCCAUCCACGACAAUCCUUGAUAAACGAGAAGUCCGAAGUUACUUGGGGCGUAAGUAAUCGACCUACCUUCUAGUUUUCUUUCUAUUAUAUCAUGAUUAUCAUAGAAUGCUUAAGUAUGGGAUGAACUCUAAUGGAAAGCCUCAAGGCCUACACCUAAGGCCUCACAAAGGCAUCCAUUUGGAUUCAUCCUAUUCAGCGAUCUUAAGAGUCUAAGCAUAAGAAUGAACUCAGAUGGGAAGCCUCAAGGCCUAUACCUAAGGCCCCACAAAGGCACCCAUUUGGGUUCGUUCUAUUCCUUGGAUUCGGGUAAUCAGAAAUAUAAUAGUUAGAAGACUCCUACAAUCACAAGAAUAAAUAUUAUGUGUUCGAGCACUGGUUUAGUUAUUGAUGGGAAGCCUCAAGGCCUACAUUUAAGGCCCCACAAAGGCACCUGUUGUAACUAACACGGUUUCUUGGAUACAUAUAUAUAUAUAUAUAUAUAUAUAUAUAUAUAUAUAUAUAUAUAUAUAUAUAUAUAUAUAUAUAUAUAUACAAUGAAAGAACGACAACCAUUUUACAUCUGCCAUGCUAAAGAUGGCAGUGGCACGCCUGAGCACCUAAAUGUUAACCUUGAUUGUGAGCCUCAAGUCCUAUACCUAAGGCCCCACAAAGGCACCUCUCAAAGUUAACGCUGUCCUUCUCUUUCAGCUUUGCCCGAAGAGCCUUGCCCGAAGAGUCUUGCCCGACGAGACUUGCCCGACAACGCCCAGAAACGAAGCAGAAGCCCGACAGCAGCCCUCAACCGGCGCCAACCUCCAGGGGAGCUGUGUGCUCGUCGGCCAGGAAACAUCCCUAGCGGAAAUUCCUGCCACGAACAUAGUUUUGGCACGCCCGGUGGGAUAAACUUCCAGAUCUUGCAUGUCCAAAAAGAAGAACCAUAAACUCGAUAAAAGGAAUCCUAAGGAAGGUCUUCUCCAAAUGGCAGGACAAUCAGAAAAUCCUUCUUCCCCAUCCGGACAGGUGGUUCCAGAUAGCCCGACUGCAUCUGAAAGAUCACAAGGAAAGGGAAGCAAUGAAGAACUACAAGCUACAAUGAUCCAAGUGUUAAAAAGCAUGGAAAUGAUCUCCCUAUAAACAAAGGGAGAAGUAAGCAGACUUUGUAUGCUCACAGGGAAUCUACAGAGAAGGCUUGAUUUGGAGUUCUCUACUCCAAAGGGUGCUCAAGGAAGUGGAAUAAGCCAGGUUAUCACGAGAGAUGAGCCAAUCAUUCCCUUAUUUCCACUACUAGAAGAAACAGGAGAUAGGGGAAAGAAAAAAGUAAUUCCUGAGGGAAGUCAACCAGUGAUAGAGCCGAUCCCGGAAAAAGAGUUUCCUAGUUUCCCAUUAUUAUCAUUUAAUAAAAGGGGGCAGAACGAACAGGAAAAGAUGAGGUACGGAAUGCCAGGUAUGAUGGGAGAAACUAGUGGAAAGGAAGCUACCACUACUACUACCACUACUGCGUCAGAUAAACCUCCACCCUAUAGACCACCCCCGAUGGUCAAUAAAGGUGGAGGAUCUAACUGGAGAAGGCCCGAACCAAGAAGAGAAACAAAUGCGGGCAAUGACCGGAGCCCGAAGAUUGGAUCAGCUAUCCUCGGUUAUAAUGAUAAUUUAGCCACUCAGCAACUAAGGGAGGAAUUGGCUGAGUUAAGAAGGACGGUGACUCAAAACGCCCAGCCGCGGGCUCGCCCAGUAUUCAAGAUUACUUACCAGAAGCCGUAUCCUGAACAUAUCGACGAGCUAAAUCCAUUCCCUCUCAACUUCAAGAUGCCCGCAUUCCCUACCUUCACAGGUGAAGACAGCAGUGUGUCUUCCAAAGACCAUAUUUUCAAAUUCUCCAAUCACUGUAUGGCGUAUGAGGACAAUCCAAACUACAAAUUGAGGUUGUUUGGAAAUUCGUUGGCAGGAUUGGCGUCUCAAUGGUAUUUUCUAUUACCCCCCAACUCUAUUGCCAACUGGGGGCAAAUGGAGAUGGCUUUUCAUGAACAGUUCUACAGGAUAGAGCCAGAAUUGACCAUCAAUGAUCUAGUGGAGGUAAAACAAUACGAUCAUGAAUCCACGGAAGACUUCAUGAUGAGGUUCAGGAGGACCAAGAUGAGAUGCCAAUUCCUCGUCAAUCAAGCACAGCUCAUAUCCAUUGCUCAAAGGGCUUUAAAAUUACCUCUGAGAAAAAGGUUUUAUGAUGCACAGUUCAGUGAGCUACAAGAACUCGUGAUUGCUGCCACGAAGUACGAAAGGUUGUUGCAAGAGGAACAGCAAGUGAAUCACACUUCCAAAGUCUCUCCUUUCUACAAAAGCAAGGCUACUAUUCACCAUGUGGAGGUGGGAGAAACCAGGCCCGAACACGAGGAUGGUCGUGAGGAAUAAAAUAUAGAAGUAUGUGCUGCUGAAAUGACUACACCCUUCAAACCAUUGACGAUCAAAGGAUUAGUCCAACCUGUCAAGGAUCAGAAGAUCGUGAUGAAUGAUGGUGGUUUCGUCCCCAUGAAGCCCCCAAAAUAUCAGAGCUAUUCGUUUGAUUUAACCAAGGCACCGGAGAUCUAUGAAGAGUUGGUGUGGGCGAGAGUAAUUUUGCCCGACAGUGCCAAAAAGAUGCCCAAGCCCGAAGAAAUCAGAGGGAAGAAGUAUUGCAAGCUGCAUUAUACCUUCAACCAUUCUAUAGUUAAUUGUGUCCAGUUUAGAGAUUGGGUACAAGAUCUUAUAGUGAAGGGUAAGCUGCUACUUGAUUCACCCCAGGCCAGUAUGAUGGUGGAUACUAACCCUUUCCCGGAAGCUCCUAUAAAUAUGAUCAACCUCAUUUUUAAGGAGCCGGGAUCAUCAGCUGAGUAAGAAUGCCAUGAGGGGGACCAGAGGACCAGGGACAGGUUCUAAGGUUGUCAACAAUAAAGGUGGAAAAGCAAGUAGACAAGGGGGCAAAUAGUUGCCCGAAGCUAGUUCAAACAGAGCAAAGCAGGAAGCAAAUUAUAUAUCCAUUCCAAUAUAAAAGGGAGUCACAAAUCAUUCUACUCUAAAAACUUUACAUCUUUACAUAGAGUGAUUACUCUGGAAUGAUAUGUUCGCAUGAUGGUAAAAAUCCUACUAGGUUCGGCCAAAAUAGUAUGGCUAUUUACAAGUUUGGACUUGGCUUGUUCUAGCUCCGAAGUCGCUUCUUCUACCCCUUCGAUUUGGUGUUCAAGGGUAUCUAGAAGAGUUGCUCUUUCUGCAUUUAAGGCAAUCAGUUGCUCUUCAAGCUUCUGGAUUUCAGAAGAAACCACUUUAACCCUUUCUUUGGUCUGCAUGCUUUCUUCCAUCAGCCGUUUAACUUGGGUAGAGGAGUUUGAUUCUUUCUCCAUGAAGCAUUUUUCCCGGUUAGCCUGUCUAUCCGCUCUCUGGUAUUGUUCCCUGAGAGCCCGCAAGUUCUCGAAGAAAGAGAGAAAAGAAUCGUGCUGAGGCUUGGACAAACGACCAGUUUUGAAAAAUUCGGUUAUGACCUUCUCAAGAUCACAAAGAGCCUUGAGACUAAAUGACGCGGUGAAUUCUUUCUUUGCCCAUUCCUGAAAGAUUUGCUUUUGCUCCAAAGACAUGGAGGUUGCUGAAGGCUGCGUUGAAGAUUUCAGCCGCGUCUCAAGUCGCCCGAGUGCUUCAAAGAGUUUUGGCAGCUUGGCAGGAUCAGAGGAUGAGAAAGGAGGAGGGUCCAGCCCGAUAGUUCUCUCCGAUCAGACAAUGCCUAUUGAGGGGGUAAUUUCUGCCUGCUUAGUCUGCUCAACUCCAGAUAGGGAGGUACCAAUACCUCCAGAAGAUGAAUGAGGAUGGGGGCGCUUUGAUUUACGAGCUAAUGGAGGAGGGGAAGUUUCUUUUGAAGCUUGCUACAAAAACCAAAAGACUCGGUCAAGUUGAUUCAAAUACAGGUUGAAGCAAAUGAGGUUCUGGAGAGAAGAAGUUUACCUGACUCAGCCCAGGGGUUUCACCAGAGAAUGUACUAACUCUUGGUUGGGAAGAAGGUUUUUCACCGCCAGCAGGAGGAGCUGCGCCUGAACCUAUGCCUGCAUCCUGGAUAUAUCCAAAAAAAGCAGUAAUUAUCAGCAAAAGGGUCACCAGAGGAAGGAGCAAGAAGAAAACAUUCCAGUACCUGAGUCUGAUCUGAAGGAGGAUAAGAGGGUUCAUCAACUAUCGGGCAAGCAAACGCCUGCGAAAUGGCAGCAUCUGAAGUAACAGGGAUCUCAGGAACUAUGGGUUCCUUAUCUGAGACCACUAGUGAGGGAGGUGGCUCAUACACUGGAGAUGGCUGCAGGAAACAUGAAUAGGAGUUAAUUGGGUAGCAAUGUGCAGAAUUUCAAUAAGGAAAUAAUAACUCACCAAAGGAUCAUCUUCAUCCACGAAGUGUAACAUCACUCAUGUGGACGGAUCAAAUUGAGAAGAGGGGGUCGCAUCUAGAGUAGUAGAAGAGGCCACAGAUCUCAGAGGAGGUCCCUGACUGGGCAAAGAAGCAGAUGCACCAGCCUAGGAAGACAAAAUAGAAGAAGAAAAAGGCCUUAGCCAUUAGAUCCAUAAAUGGGAGAGAGAUCCAAGAAUGAGGGGGAGAGAAGUACCUCAGCAGGACUGGUCUGGGAAGAAGAAAGAUUUUUCUCUCGGGCAGGUUGUGGAGAGGCCUCGGGCGAAGAGAGCGUUUCCUCUCUUGUAGCCUGAGUCAGAAUAAUCAAGUUUAGAGUUGUAUGAAAGUCAGAAAUUAUGCAACAAUAUCAGCCAUACCUCGAGUUCCCAGAGGGCGGUGUUUAGCAAUUCUUCGGGCUUUUUAAGCAUAGCAGCUCUUAGAGGUUCUUCCUUAGAAGCAAGGAUUGGUCUUUUAGAUGCUUGAGGUCCUGUUGAUCGAUAAAAAGGACAAUUAGAUAAAGGAGAAAGGUAGCAGUUUGAAAUAGGAAAAAGAAACUCACUUAAUGAUUGUUGCUUCUUUCUGCCUGCCUCAGGAACUAGAGCAGAUGGGAUUGAUGAUUCAAGAGGAAUAGUAAUCCUUGCCUGCUUACUCUUUCGAGUAAGAACUGGUCGUGUGGUUGCUGGACAAGGUGCAGGAUCAGGGUUUGAAUCUUUAGUCAUAGCUGCUUUCUUUCGCUUGGGGGCUUUAGUGAUUAUCCUGGGCGUUCCUUCAGCUCCUGAAUCACCAAUGGAUUCUGAGAUAUCCGUCCCCUCCCCAGCUUCUCGUCUCUCAGCCUCUGCGGCAGCACCAUGAAGAAUUGCAGCAUCAGCAGAAUCAUUCUCCGAUUCAAUGGCUUCAGAUUCUGUAUCUACUGGAGCUGCAGGAUCAAGCAAAUAUGAGGGAAAAUGGACAUCGGAGGGAAAACAAAAUCAGAUGGAAAGAGAGGUACCUAUUAGAAGUAACCGGUUUUUCUCUUGAAUCAUCUCCUUCCAAUUUGCAAGCUCGCCCGAGCCAGGAUAUGAUUUAAGAGAAAGCUGGUUGAAGAUGCGAUCGUGAUUCACCUUCAAAUCUCCUCCAUACUUUCUAGUCCAUUUAUCCUCCCACCAAGAUGAAAACAGCGAGGUGCAUUCAAAAUUAAGAACAAUGGAAUGUCGGGCUGCUUGACUCAUUACAUUCAGGCUACGUCGGGCGGCUCGGAAUGUCACUUCAGUUGGGGUUUGUAACCGAAAUGAGGUGCCACAAUGGACAGAGUCGAAGAAUGGGACAGGUAUAGCUUGCCUAAAUCCUAACUGCGGGCUGCAGAAGUUAGGAUGGUACACCUCUAGGCCUCGAUCAUAUCUAUUGCCCCGAACCCCCCAGGCCAAGUCUCUUGGUUGAAUACAGCUGAUAAAUUUUUCUCUACAAAAGGGGGUAGCAUCCUCACUAGGGGCAUCUUGGAAGGCUUGGUCAGAGAACCAAGGGUAUCUCCUCAAGACUGACGCACCCCAUUCCAAGUCUGAUCGAGUCCUGCAGACUCUGAAAAAGUAAAAGCAGGCGAAGGUGGAAUGGUCUGUAGGGGGAGCUUCUGCUAGAAUUCGGGCAGGAGCCACACCCUCUGGAAACUCUAGAUUGGCAGCCCGAAAUUCUGGAAAAUACCAUUGCAGCCAAAGUUGUAUCAUCCAGAUUGGUCCGUUCAAGUUGGUCUCAAAGGGGUCAUCCUGAGUCAUUUCGAAAAGAAGGUGAUAAAGAUGGGAGAGAAGAAAUGGACCUAUGGCUACAUCAUCAAAAUUGUGAAGAACCUCCACCAAGGGGAUCCAUUCUACCCUCACUCCCUUAGAUUUGUUGGGGAAUACAUGCUUGUUGAGCCAGUAAAGGAGAAAGUACAUAUGUUCUUGAUCUUUGUCAGCCCGAGGGGAGCCUGCCCCAAAAUUUUCCUUUACAAAAGGAAUGAAUCCUUUAAAGGAGGUCCCAUAACUCUUGAAAGUGGCGGAGUUAUAGCUCAGAGGAAGGAAGGUGGUAGAAGAACUCGAACUCCCGGUGGUAGAAGACGGAACCCAAUCUUGAGUAACAUCUACUGUCCUGCCCGAUGGCCUCAACCUGAAGACCUGGGCCAUAUCGAGAAUGGUGGGAGACAUGGGACCCAUACAAAAAUCAAAGGUAUUUGUGCCCGUAUUCCAAAAGAGGAGAGCAGAGGUGAGCAAUUCGGGCUUAGGGACAAUGGAAGUCUUCGAAAGCACAAGUAAUUCAUAAAUACCGUUGCUCAUCCAUUUUUGCUUGAAGAAGGGCUCCAAUUCGUCAACCCACUGGGCCCAGGUAGGAUCAUUCAUCAAGGGAAAGCCUCGACGAUGUAAUGACCAUUUAGAGGAAGAGAUGCCCGACCCGGCCAAAUAGGGAUUUUGGGUAAACCAGUUUCCCCUAGGCAUGUUGUCUUCCACUACUGAGGGGACCCGAGAAAUCCAGGCGGGACCCAAUGACUGUACCCCAUGCAUCUCGAAGAAUAGUUCAGGGUGUAAACCUGCCCGCGGACGAUGCAGCCCGUUGAGUAGACGGCGUAGGGUGGCGAUUCCGUCGCCGGACUCAUAAGAUGGUAGGUUUUGGCUGGAUCCUGAAGCCAUUUGAUGAAGAUAGAGAAAGAAAGAGGAUAAAAUGCAACCUUGUCGGGCAACAAAGAAAAGUGGUGGGAAGAAGUAGGGAUUCCUUUCGCAGAAGUGCAAUCGCAAGGUAUUCGUGGGUUUAAUAAAGAAUCUCUUUCAAUUAAUAUUGGCGCCUGGAAUUCCAGGUUUAAUAUCAAUUGAAGGGGGCACUGUUUGGGUUAAAACUAAACUUUAGGCCCAAGGAUGGAGUCGGCCCAAAAGGGGGCCUAGAGGAAUAGAAGAUCAAAGCCCAGCCGAAACUUGGGAAGGCAGGAAAGGGCCUUUUCUGACUUGAUACAAAUCACAAAGGCCACUUGCCUACCUACCCAAGGACCAAAUGGUGUAGACUGAUCAGACUGCACAGCCCAUAAAGUACUUUAUGGUGGCAUUACAUGUAAUAAAGCUGAUGAGUCAUCACCCUCAUAUCGCAUUCGGGCAAAGCUGUUGCUACAUGAGCCAAACCAAGUAGUCUAUAAAAGGAGGAAGAGAAGACAGGAAUAAGGACACUCAAACAAACAAACAACUGCAAGCCAAAACUCUGCUCAAAGCCAGAUUUGCCUUCCAAACGAAGCUGUAGUCAGCCAAGCCUUCAUCCCAUUCGGGACCAGCCUUUAUCCCCCGCGGGAUACUCUUUUCUCCUAAACUUUGUAAUAGCUCUGCUACCCUGCUCUAACUUGUUGUAGUAUCGAUUCACCCUUUUGUAUUCUCAUUCCCCCUCUCCACCUCUAAGCUUUCAGACCUUUGACAGAACCACAAAGAUAGGGACCUGCAAGACGAUCAGCCUUAAUUGAUAAGGUUUAAUCUUGCCCGACCUGCUUUGUUCUAUCUUUGUCUUCUCUUUCUUUAAAGUCUAGCAAUAUGUUGUAUAUUUUUAGUUAUAUGCAAGUCUGUUCCUAGCAAAAUCACUAUGACAAAGCUUUCUCAAUACUUGGAUCCGAUUUAAAUAUAUCUUCGAUGCUUAAAUCAGAUCCAAGUCCUAAGCCCGCAGGCAUGUAAAUCUGAUUAGUUUAAAAGUCCUUGGCCUCAAGGCAUAAAAAAGAACUUUAUGUGGACUUAACCCAUCCACGACAAUCCUUGAUAAACAAGAAGUCCGAAGUUACUUGGGGCGCAAGUAAUCGACCUACCUUCUAGUUUUCUUUCUAUUAUAUCAUGAUUAUCAUAGAAUGCUUAAGUAUGGGAUGAACUCUAAUGGAAAGCCUCAAGGCCUACACCUAAAGCCUCACAAAGGCAUCCAUUUGGAUUCAUCCUAUUCAGCGAUCUUAAGAGUCUAAGCAUAAGAAUGAACUCUGAUGGGAAGCCUCAAGGCCUAUACCUAAGGCCCCACAAAGGCACCCAUUUGGGUUCGUUCUAUUCCUUGGAUUCGGGUAAUCAGAAAUAUAAUAGUUAGAAGACUCCUACAAUCACAAGAAUAAAUAUUAUGUGUUCGAGCACUGGUUUAGUUAUUGAUGGGAAGCCUCAAGGCCUACAUUUAAGGCCCCACAAAGGCACCUGUUGUAACUAACACGGUUUCUUGGAUACAUAUAUAUAUAUAUAUAUAUAUAUAUAUACAAUGAAAGAACGACAACCAUUUUACAUCUGCCAUGCUAAAGAUGGCAGUGGCACGCCUGAGCACCUAAAUGUUAACCUUGAUUGUGAGCCUCAAGGCCUAUACCUAAGGCCCCACAAAGGCACCUCUCAAAGUUAACGCUGUCCUUCUCUUUCAGCUUUGCCCGAAGAGCCUUGCCCGAAGAGUCUUGCCCGACGAGACUUGCUCGACGAGACUUGCCCGACAACGCCCAGAAACGAAGCAGAAGCCCGACAGCAGCCCUCAACCGGCGCCAACCUCCAGGGGAGCUGUGUGCUCGUCGGCCAGGAAACAUCCCCAGCGGAAAUUCCUGCCACGAACACUAGAAUUAUAGGAGAAGACCCACAGUUACAUUGGAGUAAAAAUAAAAUACUAGCAAAAUUAGAUAUAAUUAACCCAAAUUUAACCAUUAAGACGGCUGAUAUGCCUUGUAGUUUAAUAAAUAAACAAGAGUUUGAGUAGCAAAUAAAAGAGUUGUUAUAUUUAAAAGUAAUUAGACCCUCUAAGUCUAGACAUAUAUCAGCAGCAUUUAUUGUGAGAAAACAUUCAGAAUUAAAGAGAGGUAAGGCUAGAAUAGUUUAUAAUUACAAGAGAUUAAAUGAUAAUACAUAUGAAAAUAGUUAUAAAUUACCAAAUAAGGAUGAGCUUAUAAAUAAAAUUCAAGAGAGUAAAUAUUUUAGCAAAUUUGAUUGUAAAUCGGGAUUUUCGUAAAUACGAUUAGCAGAAGAAUCAAUUGAGUUGACAGCUUUUACUUGUCCAGAAGGACCUUUUGAGUGGCUUGUUAUGUUAUUUGGACUUAAAAAUGCUCAUUCGAUCUUUCAAAGAAAAAUGAUCAAAUUUUCAAGAAAUAUGAUAAUUUUUGUAGUGUUUAUGUAGAUGAUAUUUUAGUACAUAGUAAAAAUAGAAAUGAAUAUAUGAAGCACUUAGAGAUAGUUUUACAAGAAUUUAUCAAUAAUGGAAUUGUGAUUAGCAAAAAUAAAAUAGCAUUAGAAAAGCAAGAUAUAGAAUUUUUAGGAAUGUAUAUCAAGUCAGGUACAAAACAAUUACAAGAUCAUAUAGCUAAAAAGGUUUUAGAAUUUCCAGAUAAAUUAGAAGAUAAAAAACAGCUACAAGCAUUUUUAGGAUUGUUAAAUUAUGCAAGAAAUUUUAUUCCUGAUUUAGGAAGAAAAAUAGUAGUAAUAGUAAAACUAGCAAAACAGGACAAAAAUAUUUUAAUAGUGAAGAUAUUAAAUUAGUUCAAAAUAUAAAAGAAGAAAUUACUAAACUUAAGUCAUUAACGUUACCAUUAGAUGAUAGUUACAAGAUAGUCGAACAGAUGCUUCAUUAUUACGAUAGGCAGGUAUACUAUACCAGAAAAAGCAUAAGGAGUCUCCAAAGUCUGACGAACAAGUUUGUAGAUAUUCAUCAGGAAAAUUUAGUGAUGUACAGUCAAGAUUACCAUCAACAGAUUUAGAAAUUUUAGGGAUAAUUAAUUCACUUAAAGCAUUUUCUUUAUUUUACAUAAUGAAGUAUUUACGAUUCAUGCUAAUAAACAGGCAGUCCGAAAUGGGUUAAUUUUGUUGAUUCAAUUACAGGAAAUGGUUUUAAACCAAUUUUUGAACAUAUAAAAAGUAAUGACAAUAUAUUAGCUGAUAUUUUAUCAAGAUUAAUUUGUUGAACAAAUAUAGAAUAUCGUGGACCAUCAUCCUCAAAUAGCACAAGACCACAAGGCAGAAGAGCACAUUUCAGUAGCAUAAUGAUGCACCAUCAACCUCCACCAUUCAGUGGAUUCCAAAAUAGCAUAAGCAAACCAGAAUCACCACCAGUACCUACUUUCAACUUUAAUGGCAAUAUUGUUGAAAGAAUUAAAAAUUCAACUCUGAGAUAUAGGUCAAGGGUACCAGGGCUUUCUGAUAGGCAGCAGAUUCUCUUAGAUAAUUUUUGGAAUAUCCAAAUCAAGCAGCCAAGCAUGAGGUUAGGUCAUGAAAAAUUAAUUAGAGCCUUAGAACAAGAGUUUGAUAGCUUUAAUUUUAAUUUCCACCAAAGCCAACAACAUACUCAUUCUCUUGAGCACAACUUUCAAGUCAUCUCUAGGGACCAUGAAUCAUUACUUGGUAAGUUUUCCAAAAUGAACCAAGAACUCCAAUUUCUUAGAAUGCAGCAAAAGGCAAGUGACACCUUGAAAAGAGAAUUGAAAAUAGGUUUAUAAAUUGAUCAGCAUAAGAAUAAAGGAAAAGAGGUUAUUGAACCCAUAGAACAAAAGGCUAAUGAGCCCAUAGAAGAAAUUAAGAUUGAGCUCUUAGAAGAAGACAUUGAAAUGGAGCAACAUCAAAAUAAUGAUAAGCAUCAGAUUCUAAGUGACAAAGAAAAACAAGAAAAAUAUGAAAAUUUUCUUAGGAAUGUAUCUUCAGACUUAAUAUUAGAUGAUAUUUUAUUAGAAGAAAUUUCAAAAGAAAAAUUAAGAAUAAUGCCACCAGAUAUGCAAAAUGAGAUCCUGAGCAGAGUAUCACAGUCCAUGAAGGAGUUACAUUUACAAUUACAAUGUGCUUUGUAUCAGUCCAUCUUUAAUCCAAAACCAGGGAUGGAUAUUAUUACAAAGAUGUAUCCACCAUAUCUUUGUGAUAGUACGGAGAAUUGUACUUGUAAACCAGAAGUUAACAUAGCUCUGGUCAGGAUUAACAUAAGAGAUUUUAGACCAUGGCAUUUUAGUUAUGAGCAUUAGAAAAAGCAUAAUGUGGUAGAAGUUACCCCUACCUUACUAUUAGAGUUUGGUUAUCUUGAAAAAAAAUUCAUUAACCAUAUUUCCCAGCUAGAAUAAUUUCCUAAAAAACUUAUAAAAUGAGCAGAAGAUUAUCUUAAAAAGUGGAAAGAAAUUUGCAUAAUUUUUGUCAAUAGUCCUCCAGAUUGGUAAGCACAUAUGCAUAAGGAGAAAGCUAGGCAUAUAGUCAUGAUUAAUGAAGAGUCCUUUAGACCAUCCACUGUCUCCUCACAUAGGUGGACUCCUUCAUACAAAUAUAUUUUGAAAUUUAGAGGGAUCCAAAUGUUUGCCUUAGAUGAAUUUGAAGAUUUUAGGUAUGAUAUGGUAUUAGUAGCAGAAGAAGAAGAAAUGUAUAUUUACAUCAAGACAAGAAUCAGUCAUCAGCCCUAUUGAAAGCCUCAAAUUUUCAAAGAAGAAACAGCAAAAAUGUACUACAAGGUGAAAGAAGAUAGAGAAAGAUGCAGAAGAAAGUGAUGAACAGUACUGGAACAAUUUGACAGAAGAAGAGUUGCAUAACAUUGACAACAUGAUGGAAGCAUGAAGAUCUGGCAACAAAUUAGCAUAAACUGAAUAACAUCAUGUAAAAUAAUGUAUUUCCAGAUAGAAAUGUCAACAUCAUUGUGGACCUUACUGUAAUAAUGGAAUAAUUGCAUAAGAGUAAAUAAAGAAAAGAGCUUGAUUAUAGACUUUUCAUACACAAAAUAUCUUUUUGAUUAAUAAUGAAUAGUGUCAGGCCCUAAACUCCCUAUUUUUUAGGGAACUUUAACGAAAAGCACCCGGUACUGUUCACUUUAACGAAAAACCACAUUUUUACACUAAAAAGUCAAUCCUGGUACUAUUCACUUUACCCUUUAUUUUGUCCUUAUCAUUAAAACUCAAAGUUUUCAAGCCCUUUUCAUUAGUUUUCCUUAUUUUUUAUGGUAUCUUGUAUUGGCUUUUAAGUGUUUGACCGACCUUCUUCCUAGCCUAAUGGUUAACUGCGCUAGCAUGAUUUCUCUAGGUUUUGGUGUCUGAGGCUGAUAUGAAGAUGGUGAAGAUUAUGAUGAUGAUGGUUUUUAAGUUUCUAAUCUAUCUUUAGUAUUUUAAAUCACACAAUUUAUGUGUUUUAUUUAAAACGCCAUAAAUAUAAGUAACUGCAAAUUAUAAUUUUCAAAUUAGAAUACAAAAUAGGUGACAUGAAAUACAUGUAAUACUAAUAUGCUAAGGUGUACAAAAGUCAAGAACUUUGAUAAAACAGAAAACUAAUAAGGUUUCAGUAAAAGAAAAUUGGUGGCUAGAGACUACAUCUAAAACCUCCCUUGUGACAAUGACUUGUAACUCAAAUGGUUUAAAGCGGUCACUUUCAAUAAAGGGUAUAAUUAUGCAAAGAGAUUUGUAGUUAAAAGCGGGUGAUAACAUUCAGAUGUGCACCCAAACUCUUCGAAGUUUGAAAUUCCACUGCCCUAAUACCACUUGGAUCAAAAGAACAUGUAACACCACAUAGAAAUGCCUAGUUUACCAUUCAAGUAUGCCGCAAAUUGAGAGAGAGAGAGAGAGAGAGAGAGAGAGAGAGAGAGAGAGAGAUGCAGGGGAGAUCGAGGCGAGGGAAUUUGUGGGUUGGCAAAGGAAGUUGCCGGAAGGAAUUUGGUUGUAUCUUGUAUUUGUGGUUGAAAUGAACGGAUUUGGUACCGAGUAAAAGAGUUAUAAAAAAUGACUUAAUAUAUUAACACCCCAAACCCUAAGAUAUAUAAUUCUUUUGGAACUGGAAAUCGGUCAAACCAAACCGGAACAAAAAUGCACCAAACCGUGCGGUUCUAACAAUAAAUUUUAAAAAAAAAAAAAAAAAAAAAAAAAAACCAACCAAUGAUAUCUUUCGGUUUCUAUUCCGGUUCACUCUAGAGAGAGAGAACCAAAUCAAACCGGACCCUCCCAGAUACCAAAGGUAUACCUACAAAGAAAUUUCUGUCAAAGUCCAGAAAUAAGAUUAGUGGAGGCAAAUGGCGCCAUGGUGCAUACGUUCUUAACCCUACAUUUUCAUAUAAUUUUAUUGGAAUUGCUUGCUUCCAUGUGUACUCGCUGCAUAGUUACCGUUCGUUGAAGAAGCUAGCUCCUCGCUAAUACUUGCGAACGACGGUUUACAGUUAGUACGUUAAACAAGGCGACGCUGCUAUAACCGAAGAUAAUAUCAAAACGCUAAUUAAGAAACCUAUCCCCUACAAUCUCUUCUAGUUAUAUUUCCUGUUAAUUAACUUAACUCAGCGUGCACGAUUUUCAUUACGUUUGUGAUUGUCCUUUACAUGUUACUUUAACCAAAUCAAGCGACAGUUAUCUCUGCCCCAGUACCGGUUUCUUCAACAAACUGCGCUUUGGGCUCCAAGUCUAUGAACUGGUUGGACUUGCUAGCGAGAUGCGAAAUGCUUACCCUUCCUUGACGCUUAAUGUAGUCUGCCACAGCUUGCAUCUCUUCUUGGGAGAUGUAUAUGUAUUUCCCUCUGUCGUCCAUGACGCCAGAAAGUCGCCCUACCACAAACAAAUACAACAGUUUCAUUCUCAACCAAAAAAACAAAGGCAUUUUACCUUCAGAAGCAAGGCAUUAUUCAUCUGGGUGAAACAACUCAAUGAGGAAAUGCCUCUCAACGUACCCAUACUCUCCAGAUUGGUAAUUCGAUUGAUGCAUUCCUGCAUGAAUCAUUAGUAUCGAAAAAUUAGAAAGCCAAAUCUAGCAUAAAUCCAAACGAUGCAUGAUAUACCAAAAGGAUGGAUUAUUUCUGUGACAGAAAAAAGAAAGCAUGUUCUAAACGAAAAGAGCAACAAUAAGUUGACCAAUCACUUUUAGAAAUUAUAUUUCUGCAGGGUUUUUAUCACGGUUGGUCCCAUGACAAAAACCCUAUUUCCACGUGCCUUACUAUUUUUCAACUAAAAACUUCAUUUAUUACAGAAAUUUGAGGUACAUAAGGAGACAUGAAAACUGUUGAUUUAGGAGUUAAUUUAGGAUGAAUAUGUGGAGAAAUUACCUGAGUCCUUAACUUAAAUUCAGCAGCAAGAUCUUCCAAGGGAAUGCAUUUAUGUUUCUGCAAUGUCAGAGUUAAAGGUAUUAUUAAUAACAAAAUCACAACCUCAACUUCAAAUGCUUACUUUCUCAACCAUUAAUUCAUAUGAUUGAGGUCUCAUAUCGUUACAAAAGGACGCUAACAGAUUAAUAAACUCUAAACAAUAAAGCUAUCUUAAGGAUGAGAGGACGGAAAUGGCAAGCUGCAUGCCCAAGCGUCCCACCAUGGUCCAUUCAUUCAGGCAUGAGCACAAGCUCAGAUUGAGUUGACCAAAACAGAUUCCUCUCAUCUCAGCUUGGCGGAGCUAACCUGAGCUAGGGCUUAGAAAAAGUUGAGCACAUAAGCUUGUGACCAGGUUGAGUUUGUCUCAACGGGGUUGAAUAAAUUGGACAAACUACCUUAACCCACCCCUUAGUAACACAUUUCAUCCCUAGUUUGAUGCCAACCCGAUGGACGUAUUUGGGAGCUAGAGUAUAGAACAAUAAUUUUUUUUUAAUGAGUUAAUUGAACUCUACCUUUAUGUAUUCCACAAAAUCAGACAGCAAAUCCUGACGUCCAUCCUGCACUUCAUUCUCUGUAGUACCUUCAGCGUCUAUUGAAAACUCGCCUUUCCACUUUUCAAACUCUAAAGCAGCAGCCUCCUCCUCCCUAGCCCUUUGAGCUUUGGCUUCUUCCUCCUACAAAACAGUGGUCAAAUCUUCAGGCAGUAAUCCAACAACAUAAAAAUACACAUCCUAAUUUGCCAAAACAGAAAUGAAAGAGGGACAUCAACACACCAGCUGACGCUCCUGUGCCUCACGCUCCUCAUCUUUCCUCCUCCGCAUUUCAGCAUAGCGGUCUUGUUUUGUUACCCUUGAUUCACGUGCAGCUUGUUCAGCCUUCAAACAAAGAAUGGACCCAAGUAAAUAAUUAGUUGUGAUUCAAUUGAAAGGAAAAGGGAAGAAAAUAAUAUAAAAGGAAUGCAAGUAACCCAAAAUCAAGGAUCCUCAGAGAACAUAAGCAUAAACUCAAUUAAAUGUUUUAGUCAUUCAGCCAUUCAGUAAUUUAAAUCGAUUGAAUGAUAUAGUAAUCAAACUUCUAACAUUUCCUACACCUCAGUGACUACACGGGAAUGGUUUAUGUCUUUAUUAAAUGUAGAUAUUUGAAUAUCUAGAAACUCGCUAAAAUUUAAGGCCUGUUGGGUAUUCAUGACAUGACACAACACAUUUACUAGAAAGUUUAAUCAGGACCGGAGAGCAAAAGAGUGUGUGCAAGCUUAAUCAGGACUGGAUAGGGAGAGAGAGUGUGUGCAAAAUUUCAAAUCAAGAAGUAAAAGGAAGAAAGAAUACUUGUCGUUGUGCUUCCCGCUCUUGACGCUUCUUUUCCCUCUUCUUGGAUGCUUUGUCUUCAUACUCGCCCUCAACAUCUUCCUCAUCACUUCCAUCAACGGUUUCUGUAUUUAGAAAUAUAGAUUAACAGUUCAUUGCCAGAAUAACUCAUUUUUCAACUUAUUUAAUAUCAAUAGCACUUAAAGCAAGCUAACCAAUGCAAUAGCUGAAGCAUAAAUUGUCCAGCAUACAAGUCCAAAUUUACACUUCCUAUGCCGGGUAAGUCUUCUAAACAGAAUACCUGAUGAGUCAACUUACACUCUGAACUGCCUAAUUCUACAUCCUUUACUUCCUCAAUUUUUGUACCCUCCUCAUGAAUCCAUAAACCCUAUGACUCGGUCUCUGGAAUAAUCAUCGGUCGACCCCAACAGAUCAACCGUAUAAACCAUAUUCCCCCCCCCCCCCCCCCCCCCCCCCCAAAAAAAAAAUCCUAAUUUGAUCACAGAUGCGGUUACUUAUAUUUUCGUUCCUGAUUAUCUCACCACUGCUUACCAAUUGAUAUCUAUUUCAAUCAUGAUUCAUCAAUUACAAACGCUUCUCCAAUCAGAGAGAAACUAACAUCGCGAAACCUCACAAAGUCGCAAUUACUUAUGAACUUAAUCCAACCACUUACUAAUAUAAAUUAAAAUUAGCCACUUAAACGUAAACCACAAACCUUCUACAGCUGGUGCAGCAGCUGAUGAUGUGCUUGCUCCAGAAGCCGGCCUCCUACGCAUCCGGCGACCGCCAGGCGCACGCACUACCGCCUCCCUCUGAGCAACCUAAAUCAAUAUCAAUCCAAAAAAAUUCAAAAAAUUAAAUCCAAAACACCACUACUUUCUGAGCCAAAAAUCAUUAACAGAACAAAAAAUAAAAUAAAACAAUUACGCUGCAACGAAAUUAGGGCUCAAAAAAUUAAACCUGAGGUUCUUCUUCGUGUUCAUGCGGCGGUCGAGAAUCUUGGCGGCGUUUCCAUAGAUAUAGUGGAAUUAAUCCCAAAACAAGAAGCAUGGAAAGAAAAAUUGCUAACAUUUCCUCCAUAUUUUCUCAAUCUCAGGCUCUGCCAAUAACAACAACACCACCACGAAUUUGAGGGGUUUUUUUCUUCAAAUUUUCUCUAUUUUUCUUGGUUUUUCUCGGUAACCAAACAGUGAGUUAGGGUAAGGAGAUGCCUUGAGAGCGGUUAAGCUUCGGAUAAUCAAUGGAGGAUGAAUUAACUGGAUUUCUUACUGAGAGAACUGCGGAGAACGAGACGACCACGAGCCCCUUUUGAGGUUACUCAAUCAAAACGACGGCGUGGUGUUAUUCUUUAGUUCUCAAAAUAACGCAUAGAAAAUAAUUUGGUGUUGACAACAGAAUAAUGCUAAGUAAAUUAAAUAGGUAAAUUAAAUUUACAAACUAAAUAAUAUGUUGUUAAUAAAAAUAAGUACGUUAAUCAACAUUUAAAUAAUAAUUUACUCAUCAAUUUCGAUGUAAUUUAAUUUGUAAAAUACUCUACACAUUUAUUCUCCCUAACACUACCGAGACAAUAAAAGAUGGUCACAAAUACUACCAGAACUAAAAAUCUUGUCAAUUUACCACCAAGACUUUUAUUUUUAGUGUGGAUAACCUUUGUCAAUCUUUAUUACGAAUUCCUUCAAAAUUACCGUGUUUCAUCUUUAUGCGUGUUUUCACCCGUUCUAGGGAGGCAGAUUGUCUGCCCUCCUUUUACCAUGUCAUUCACAUCCCUUUUUAUUUGUGCGGUUACAGUGAAACCACGUCAACAUGUCUUAUUAUCUCUAUAAAAAAAUCAAUGUAAAAUGUUAACGUGACUUAACCGUGACCACACAAUGUAGGAGGGGAUGGAAAAAGCAUGGUAAUGAAAGAGUAGACAAUCUGCCUCCCCAUUCUAGACUCUUAAACAACUUGGAGUAAGAAUUCCAUUGACAUAAAUUUAUCUUGAAGGAGGUAGAAGUUAAGUUUCCACAAGUUUUAGUCAAAAUUCUUAUUGUAGUCAUAUAUAUGGCUUUGUGAUAAAAAUUUAAGAGAAAACUGAAAAAGUAUCGUGUAAAUUGUAGAUGAUACAUUCAAACUAAAAUUUUAAUUUAAACGAAUGGAGGUGGUGCAUUCUCACCCAAAUAGCGAGUAGGAAGUCGUCUUACAUAUAAAAUCGAAAAACUGAAUUUUCUCUUAAAAUAAGAGUUCAUACACGUUGAAUUUAAAUGAGAUGUCUUUUCUUAAGGGAUGUGAAUAGUUCUAUUUAAAUAGAAGAAUCUAACAAAGUUUCACAUGUUCAAUUUUUCACUUCAAAAUCAAUCUACAUCGUUUGCCAUUUAGGAUUAUAAUUUAGUAGUGUUCUUCUUCACUUAGAAGUGAAAUUUUAGGCUGUUAGGUUCAAAUCUCGAUAAUGAUAAAUUUGUAACCAAUUUAUUAUUUCACCUCUUAAUGUAAAUAUAUCGUUGUAUAAAAAAUUCAUCUACAUCCCCUGAUAUCCUAUUUCUACUCAUCAUUCAUCAACGGAAACUUGAUAAUUACUUGGCACAUCAUUUGUCGUCAUCGUACCUAGCGAAUGAGACAUCUCAAAGGCUUGUAUCUUAGAGUUCUAAACGACCAUAAUAACUUGCAUGCAUGAAGGUACUACGACUUUAGGAUCGCAACUGAUAACUAUAAUAUGUGCAUGUGUGUGAGAUGGUUAGGAUGUAUGUGAGGUAGUUAAGUUGGUUAAGAGUCUAUGGUGUAAGGUUGUGACAAGUGUCAACAUCUUAAGAGUCUUAUGUUAGCUUAGUAUCUAAGCAAUGUUGCUAGAUAUAUACACAAUGUAAUCAGUGUUAAUGUUGUUGAAUUGAAUUGAAAAAUAAUACAUACAUUUUCUUUCUCUCUAUCUCUUUCUUCCUCUCUGUUUACAUGGUAUCAUUCGCCUGAAAAGCUUAGGCUUGAAGGUUUCUCGAUCUUGUUCUUCUGCUUCCGCUCUAUAUUCUGCAUCAACGGUCUGUCUUCUUUUUCUUCGGGCCUUGAUUUUUCUCUGGGUCUUCGACUGGGUGCAACCUUCUCUUUGCACACCAAGUGUUUGUUAUAAUUCCUCUAAGAAAUUCUUCAUUUAGAUUUCUUCCUUCUUCGGUUGCAAUGGUGACUUCUGCUCAACUGCAAAUUCUUCAAUCUCCCAUCACGUCUCUCAUAUCCACAAUUUCUUCUUCUGUGACUGUCAAACUCGAUGAUUCCAAUUAUCUAACUUGGAAUUUCCAGAUCGAGUUGCUACUUGAAGGCCAUGGUCUUAUGGGUUUUGUCGAUGGGUCUCAUCCAUGUCCUGCUCGAUUCAAUGUCCCUAUUUCUGAAGGUUCCUCUGUCCCUUCGAGUGAUGUUUCAUCUUCGACUGAAAGUGAUGACUUCAAGGUUUGGAAAAUGCACGAUCGGGCAUUGAUGCAAUACUCACAGCGACUUUAUCUCCUUCAACAGUUUCUUGUGCAAUUGGUAGUUCCAAUGCUCAUGAUCUGUGGCAGCGUCUCAAAGAACGAUUUUCGAUUGUCACUAGAGCAACGAUCUUUCAGAUGAAAUCUGAAUUACAGAACAUCAAGAAAGGUACGGAUUCGAUUUCGAUAUAUUUGCAACGCAUUAAAGAAGCUCGUGAUUAUCUGUUUGCUGCUGGAGUUCAGUUCGAUGAUGACGAUAUUGUGAUUUUGACCUUGAAUGGUCUCUCAUCUGAAUAUAAUACUCUGAGAUCUAUUAUUCGAGGCCGUGAAAAUGUCAUCUCCAUGAAAGAUCUUCGAUCUCAGUUACUUGCUGAGGAAGCAAUGGUUGAAAACAUUCCCAUUACACCUUUCUUGUCUGCUAUGGUUGCUCGAAAUAAUGGCAGUGUCUCUAAACCUGAGGGUCAUUCCACUGAUACUUCUUAUGGUGGUUCUUCUCCGUCUACAUUUUAUUCAUCCGGUCCUUCUGGGAUCAGGCCAAACCAAAGCAAGAACAAAUACAAAGGGAAAUUUUAGUACAAUUCUCAGUCUCGGUUUGGAAAUUCCAAGUCCACUUAUGGCAAUUAUAAUUCGGCUCCUGGCAUUCUUGGUUCUUCUCCACCAAAGCAACAUGGUGUUUCUAGUAACUCUUGUCAAAUUUGUGGCAAGUUUGGCCAUUUUGCUCCAACUUGCCGAUUCCGGAAUUCUGAUAGUACCAUUUCUGAGGGUUGUCAAAUCUGUGGGAAGAAGAAUCAUAGUGCUAAAUAUUGCCAUUUCAGAAACUCUAACCCUUCUACUCAAGCUCCAACUGCUUUGCAUGUUUCUUCAUCACAACAUCAUCAGCCAAGUGCUCAUCCUCAACAAUUUUGGCUUAUUGAUUCUGGAGCAUCUUCCCAUAUGACAUCUGACUUGAGUAAUAUGUCCCUGGCCUCUCCAUACCCUGCUGAUGAAACCAUUCAGACUGCGAGUGGUGCAGGUUUAUCAAUAUCUCAUAUUGGUUCCUCCACUCUUCAUACUCUUUUAAAACCAUUGCAAUUAAAUUCAGUUCUUUGUGUUCCUGGAUUAUCUCAGAACCUGUUAUCUGUGCAUCAAUUAUGCUUAGAUAAUCAUUGUUGGUUGAUCUAUGAUGCCUUUUGUUUUUGGAUCCAGGACAAAGCCACAGGGAAGAUUCUCUUUCACGGCAAAUGCAGUAAUGGAUUGUAUCUCAUACCACUUCCAGCAAGAGUUCGAGCUAUCUCUUCUCAGCCUCAAGCUGCCUAUCUUGGUCGUCAAGUAUCUUCUAGUCUUUGGCAUAGUAGGUUAGGUCACCCAUCUAAUUAUGUGGUCUCUGUCAUGUUAAAGAAGUGUAAUCUGUCUGUCUCACCUGAUUCCUUGCCUGUAAUGUGUCAUACAUGUCUGGAAGGCAAGUUUUGUAAAUUGCCCUUUGUUAAAUCUGUGUCUAAGUCUCUCCACCCAUUUGAAAUCAUUCAUAGUGAUGUAUGGGGUCCUUCUCCUUGUACUUCGAUAGAUGGUUUUCGGUACUAUGUGACAUUCAUUGAUGAAUGCACUAGACAUUGUUGGUUGUUUCCCAUUCUUAAUAAAAGUGAUGUUUUCUCUACCUUUAUUGGUUUUUCUAAUUUUGUCUCUAAUCAUUUUUCCACUUCCAUUAAAACAUUACAAAGUGAUGGUGGAGGAGAAUAUCUUAGUAAACCUUUUCAAAAGUUUUUGUUGGACAAAGGCAUCACACAUCACUUAUCCUGUCCUUAUACACCUAAGAAAAACGGGUUAGCCGAACGGAAGCAUAGGCAUAUCAUUGAAACUGCUAUAACCCUGUUACAAACAGCUUCCUUACCCCCAAUUUUCUGGUCUUUUGGUGUCCAAACUGCUGUUUAUCUUAUCAAUCGAAUGCCCUCACCUACACUUUAUAAUAAAUCUCCUUUUGAACUAUUGUUUAAUGCUAUUCCUGAUGUUCAUCAUCUCAGAAUAUUUGGUUGCUCAGUAUUUCCGUUACUAAAACCAUAUAACAAUACCAAGUUACAACCCAAGACAAUCAAAUGCAUUUUUCUAGGCUAUGCUUCCAGUUACAAAGGUUUCAUUUGCUAUGAUAUUGUUCAUACCCGGUUUUAUAUUUCCAAACAUGUAAUGUUUGAUGAGUCAGAAUUUCCAUAUCUUACCUUGUCUGUUACAUGUUCUGUCUCUAAUCACUCCACCUCUACAUAUGUACCCUCUUCCCCAUCUCCAUUCAUUUCAGUCACUGGUACCAAUCAUGUUGUGUCCUUCCCACAUUCUAGGACAUCUAGUAUGCCAGAGCCUAUGUCACAUCCAUGUUCUGAUCAACACAGUGGUACUUCUACUUCAUUACAGUCCAUUACUGCAUCAACAGGUCACCAAUCAUCUUCUUCAUUCUCUGUGGCUCCUGCGAUUCCAAAUGUGUCUUGUUCUGAGAUCUUACAUAAGUCUCCUACUCUGCCUUCGAGUGCUCCUGGUGUUGCCAUACAACAUGAGUUUCAACCUGACAGAUUACAGGUUCUUCUUCCUAUUCCUCCUAUGAACACUCAUUCUAUGCAAACCCGAGCAAAAAAUGGUAUUUCGAAGAAGAAAGCUUUUCUUUCUGUGGUUCAAGAUGCUGAUUCAGUUGAUCUUUCUCAAAUGGAACCUGCCACCUAUAAGUCGGCUCUAAAGUCUCCAUUAUGGUUUUCUGCUAUGGAAGAAGAGUUGGCUGCUCUUAAAACACAACAUACUUGGUAUUUGUUCCCAUUACCUCAUAAUAAGAAUUUGGUAGGCUGCAAGUGGGUUUUCAAGCUUAAGAGACAUGCUGAUGGGACUAUUUCUAGGUACAAAGCAAGGCUUGUUGCCCAAGGUUUCAAUCAAGAAGAGGGUAUUGACUAUGGAGAGACUUUUAGUCCGGUUGUCAAACCUACAACUGUGAGGUUGGUCAUAGCCUUGGCAGCACAUUUUGGGUGGUCUUUGCGUCAACUCGAUGUGAAGAAUGCAUUUCUUCAUGGCAUUCUUAAUGAGGAAGUGUAUAUGUCCCAGCCACCAGGGUUUAGUGAUCCACAUAACCCUACACAUGUUUGCAGAUUGCAUAAGUCUUUGUAUGGCUUAAAACAAGCCCCGAGAGCAUGGAAUGAGAGGUUCACAUCUUUUCUUCCUUCUCUGGGGGUUCCUUUCAACAUAUUCUGAUCCGUCUUUAUUUGUCAAGCAUGAUGGACAUUCUGUGGUCCUUCUCAUCCUUUAUGUGGAUGAUAUUAUCAUCACAGGGAGUCAUUCUGUUCCUAUUGCUGCAGUGAUUACGGCUUUGACUGAGGAAUUUGAUAUUAAAGAUUUAGGUCCUCUUCAUUAUUUUCUUGGGAUCCAAAUCACACAGAAUGCAAGUGGACUGUUCCUCCCUCAGUCUAAAUAUGUGUUUGAUUUGUUGGUUAAAGCUGACAUGGUUCAUUCUAAGCCGUGCUCCACACCUUGCUUACCUUAUAAUAGGUUAUUGAAAGAUGAUGGUCAUCCUUUCAAUAAUCCUUCUCUCUAUAGAAGUAUUGUGGGUGCUCUUCAAUAUCUCACUUUCACAAGGCCCGAUAUCUCCUUCUCGGUUCAUCAGGUUUGUCAAUUCAUGCACUGUCCAAUGGACUUUCAUUAUGCUGUUGUGAAGAGGAUCCUUCGCUAUUUAAAAGGUACUAUGGACCUUGGCAUUCAGUUUCGCAAAGGAGACUUGAAUCUUCAUGCAUUCAGUGAUGCUGAUUGGGCUGGAGACCCUAAUGACAGACGGUCUACUACUGGUUUAGUUGUGUUUCUCGGGCCAAAUCCCAUUUCUUGGUCAUCCAAGAAACAAAAUACAGUUUCUCGUUCAUCUACUGAAGCUGAAUACCGCGCCCUCUCAAGUACUUCUGCAGAAAUUGAUUGGAUCAAACAGAUUCUUCACUUUAUGAAAAUUGAUGUGCCUUGUCCGACGACCCUGUACUGUGAUAAUCUUUCUGCUAUUGCCCUUGCAUAUAAUCCUGUCAUGCAUCAGCGGACCAAACAUAUUGAGGUUGAUGUUCAUUUUGUCCGAGAAAGGGUGGCAAAGAAGCUUCUGCAGGUGCACUUUGUUUCCUCCAAUGAGCAGUUUGCUGAUAUCCUUACAAAGGGGUUGUCUGCUCCUCUAUAUCAAACACACUGCUACAAUCUCAGCCUUGGCAAGCUCCACUCUGAGAUUGAGGGAGGAUGAUAACUAUAAUAUGUGCAUGUGUGUGAGAUGGUUAGGAUGUAUGUGAGGUAGUUAAGUUGGUUAAGAGUUUAUGGUGUAAGGUUGUGACAAGUGUCAACAUCUUAAGAGUCUUAUGUUAGCUUAGUAUCUAAGCAAUGUUGCUAGAUAUAUACACAAUGUAAUCAGUGUUAAUGUUGUUGAAUUGAAUUGAAAAAUAAUACAUACAUUUUCUUUCUCUCUAUCUCUUUCUUCCUCUCUGUUUACAGCAACUACGUGCCUCUCUUUAUAUCACAGACCAAAUUGCUCUUACUCUUUUCAUAAUCCAUAAUCUAAUUCAUAUUUAGUUUUGUUAAGCAUUUUGUUUUGUUGAAAAUUUAGUAGUGUACAUACUUGCCAUGAAUAGCCCUAUGAAUUGUAGUGUACAUAUUUGCCAUGAAAAAUUAGUAUGUUACCGUUGAAAAUUAUAUGUUUGUCAAAUUGUAAUCUGGAGUAACAAUGUAACAAUAAUACUAAUUGUUCGUAACAUUAGAAUUCAACAGCAAAGUAAGGACACUAACAAGGCAAUCAAUAGGAAUCACAAGCCACUCUACUUAUCAAUAGGGAUCACCAGCAUUGGGUUAAGGGCAGUGCUAUGCUGCUAUUCGCACACCUCUACGUCCCACACACAGUUGUUAAUUUUGUUCAACGGCAAAAAAUUAAAAGAAUGUGUGAUUUGUACCAACCUUUCUAAUGAACAGAAUAUCACUGUGGUGGUGCUCAAGUCCAAUUGUUUAAAAGUACCCAUAAAUGUUUUUAAAAAUACGCCAAAGAAACUACAUGCAGGUCAUCUCAUCGAACAUCAGAAAAUUGAAACCAGAGCGACACAAAUGGGGUUGCAGAUCAUAGAAGAUAAUAAUUAAGGAAGCAAGUGCAAGUGACACUACCAUUUCUUUUCCAACAGUCUGAGCCAAAUAUCCAACACACACACAGAGAAGAUGACAAACAUCCCUCCAUCCGCUUUAUUAACAAAACUCACAUAAGUCCCAAACCGCAUCAAAUAUCCACUAUAACCAUCACUUAGCCACCAUAAAAACGCACUCCUAAACUCACUCCUAAACCGCUAUUAUUUUCGGCUUGAUUCUGGGUUUUCCCUUGUUUAUUAACAUCUAACGCGAACAUUAAGCCUCGGCAAUCUCAGCGGAUUCUGCAGCAGCUAGGAUCAGCUCCGGCUGGAUGCCACCAACGUACGAUCCAUCCAAAGCGUUGGGGAGUCCCAGUGCCUUCAAUGCCAAGUGAGCUGCCUUUUGCCCUGAGAUCAUCAUGGCUCCGAAUGUAGGUCCCUACAUCCCCAAUAAUGUAGCAACUUAUGAUAUUAGGUCCACAUUGAUAUAUAAGUAAUCGACGAAUUCCAAACACAAAUUGUACAUAAUACAAAGUGGGAAUCUUAUUAGGACCACAUAAAAAUCAAGCAAUAUAUGGUACUAUUCCAAACAUUAAAGAACAAGAAAAGAAUGGAAAAGCUUUUGGACCCAUGUUCUUUUGAAAUCUCUAUGUAUGGAUCGAGGCUAAAGUAAUUGCCGUCCUCCUACGGUGUUUUUGUCUCGUAAUUAAAUGCGGAGGGAGAGGUACAGGACAUAGUAGUAAAGGUUUCCCGGUAGAGGCCAUUAUAUAUGGCAUUAUUGACUACGAUAGGCUAGCGAAUGAAACAAGUUUCGGACCCUUCUAUGGUGGAGGAUGCAAAUCUAGGUUGGGUCUACUUCAACUUUCAUGAUUAAAAGGACAUAGAUUUCAAAUUUACUAUGAUUAUAGGGGAUCAAUGUACCACCUCGAAUAUUCGCUCCUCCAGAAAGUUUCGGGCACUAUUCCGGUAUGGGAGUCUAUUUCCAUUGCGAUGUGGUAGUGCAAACACUUAAGUGUUGGUGUCUAUCUACACUACGCAUUUACAUAUCAAAAUUUUAUUGACAACCAUGCACACUUAGAGCUUAAAUCUAAUUGAGAAGUUAUGCUUGAUAUGAUCAACUUCCCAGUCCUUAAUGUCCUUAAUGUUUUAUCUAAACCGUCUAGGCCCCCCACCACGAUCCCAUUCUGAUGAAUGGGAUUGUGAUGGCUUGGAGUGAUUGGAUAAGACACUAAUGAUGAUUUAGUCAAAUGAGUUAGAUCAUUCAAACAAGUGUUCAUUUCAAAUCAGAAAUCAGUCAAACAAGUGUUCAUCUCAAAUUAGCCAAGCACAAUAAUAUCUAGAGGUGUGCUAUCCGCACACUUUUUUUUACUUCUCACGCACACCCUCUACAAAAUGAGGGAAAUUAAUAAGAGAUGUAUGAAAAGUAAAAAGUGGCAUCUAUACCAAAAAGUAAACAGAAAUUAUAAACAAGAAUAAAUCAAAUGAGAUAGAAAUGUACCAUUCUUGGAGAUCCAUCAAUCUCAGCAACUUCCAUGCCGGUAACGAUCAUUCCGGGCACAAUCUCCCUUGUGAGCUUCACAAUAGCAUCCUCAGCGGUGUUCAUGUCCAAUGCCUUCAUCCCAGGAACGCUCUCAAUCAUUCCGACACUCCUCAACCUCUUCACCCCGGUGGCUCCCAUGGGUCCAUCAUGGCCGCAUGAGCUCACCACAACCUUGGCCUCCAUGACGUUCGGGUCCAUGCACGACUGUGUGUCGUGGUUCAUUGAGACCAAAGCCCAGUUGGUGACCACCCCACCAACUCUGCCACCCUUGAUGAUCAAGUCCUCGGCGGCCACAGCGUUGAAGAGCUUCACGUUGGGCCUGGCAAGGAGCUUGCUCAUGAUGGUGGACGUGAAUAGAGCGGCGUGCUUGAUGACGACGUAGUUGUCUUGCUCAUCGUAGUCAAUGCCGAGCUCGUUUAGGAAGAGAUGGGCGGGUUUCCGCACAACCUAUGUCAAACAUAUAAAAUAAUCAUUAGUAUUACAAAAUACAAGACGCUGCAUGCGAGACACGCGUCGACCCAAACAAGACGUACGCUGCAUGCGAUCCACGUGUCGAUCAGUCAAAAUCUUCGAUUAUUUUACUAGCAAACAUAAAUUUCAAAUUAAACAGCAAUUCCCCAGAAAGGGCAAAAAUUUAAGCACCACAUAAAAUUGGUAAUUACACAAUAACAAAUCAUUAAUUAAGGUAAUUUCAAAAUAAUUAAUAAUUUACCAACAAAAAAUUAAUCGUAAAUGACAUUAAUUACCAUGGCAGAGAAGAGCUGGCCACCGAGCCAUGCACCGCCACCGGGGCUGACGGACUGCUCUAUGAUGGCGACCUGAACGUCGGGGUUCUUGCUGAGCUCAUAGGCGCAGGAGAGCCCGGCGGAGCCAGCACCGACUACGACGACGUCGGUGUCAGCGUAGGUGAUCAUGUCAGUCAUGUAGCGCCUGGUCAUCUCCCGGGAGACGAUGGAUUCCUUGAUGGGGUCGAACUUGAAGGCGCUCAAGUCGUACGAGGGGUUCAAGCCGUUGGCGGACAUGGAGACGGAGAGGCCUCCGUUGCUGGCAGGGGCCGCCUUGGCCGGCUGAAGGCGGACCAUGGGAGCGCCAUGGAAGGAGGAGUCGAGGAGGGAGGGCUUCUGGAGCUUGGUGGUGAGAGAGGAUGAGGUGAGGGUGGAAGUCAUGGAUGCCAUCGACUGAUGGGAGAAGAGAGAGUAGAUGAUAAGAUGGGGUGAAUUGGGGGUUUAGGGUUUGCAAGUCACAAGAUGCGAGUGAGGAGAGAGUGGUUAUUUAAGGAGGAGGAGGAGGUGAAAUAUCUGUGAAAUUGAAGAAGGACACGUGGAAAGAGGAUUGGAUAUGAAGGGUCUAGAAUCUCUUGGAGGUACACAAGUGGCAAACAUGAACCAGGCCAUGGUGUGUGUUUGUGCGUGAGGAGAGAUCGCAGAUAUCAGAAAUGAAAAAUACUGGCUCAAGGCUUUGUUUGGAAAUGUUUUAAAAAAAUUAAAAAUACUUUUAAAACAAUGUAUUCAAUCUGUUUUUUUUUUUUCGAAACAAACAAUAAUAUCUACAUUAAAAGUAGGUGAGUGAGUUAAGCCUUAUAAUGAGUUUGUCAUAAUAAUGUGGUUUAACUUCGCCUUGAGAAUCGAAUUUAAGAUCUCUCAUUUACAAGUGAAGAUGAAUUUAAAAGAACACUUAAAAUGUAUUCUGAGAAGUACAAUUAAAAUUAAAAAUACUUCAAAAAAAUUAAAAGUGCUUCUGGAUUUAAAAACACUUGAAAUAUAUUCAUGCUUACUUCUUAUAAAUUAAGGAUUAACUCUCAAUAGAAUUACUUGUGAACAUAAUUGCUUUCUUAAAAAAUUAAAAAAUUUCCACUUCUUUUUAUUAUAGCCAAGUUACUAUUUGAUAUAUGUGUGUAAUUUUUUAAAGUUUAAUAUUUAUUUUUGUGCGUCAAAUUGUGAUUCUCACCUAAACAAAAUAAAAAUUCUUACGCAAUAAUCGUACUUCGUAGUCACUACUUGUGAGAUCUCGCAGUCACUACUUGUGAGAUUUUUAUCAUAUGUGGGACGUGUUUGAUACUUUAUAAAAGCUUUUGUCAUUAUCAUUGAGAAGUAGUAUCUUUGCCUUUCUUGUUUGGAUGCGAAGUAGUAAACAACUUCUCAAUUUUCAUGUUUUUUGUGACCAAGCCAACGGCAAAUGGUCGACGUUGUUUAGGUGAAAUUUCUAAAUUAAAUUUAAAAAAAAAAAACUAUGCACCAAUAAACUUGCGGUCUAAUAUCCUAACAUAGGUAUUGGGUUUCCACCCAUGUCUACUGAGUUCGAAAUAGCCCUUAAAUUCUUGUAAUAAUUUCGAAUCCUCAUAUCCUCUUAAUAAUAACUAACAUUUACUUACACACUUUAUGUGUAUGAACACAUUUUUUUAGAAAAUGAGAAGGAGAGAGGGAGAGAGAACAUUGGGGAGUGGGAGGUUUUUUUUUUUUUUAAUAUUAGAGGUAUUUUAACAUCACUUGUAGGUAAGGCUUAAAUAAAAAAAGUAAAAUUUGAACCUGUGAAAUUACAUUAUUGCCCAUCAUUUUUUUGUGUGAUAGAAGACUAAUUUUUCUUUUCACCCUCUUUUGAUUGACAAAGAGGGUUUUAUUAAUUAGUAGAGAUAAUUUAUUAAAAUAAAAAAAAUAAAAAAAUAAAAACUUGCCCUAUAAAAAAUAUGAAUCUUUCAUAACAAAUGCAUACACCCUUUUUCAUUUUUUAUUUUUUUUUCGGGUGAUGGGUCUUGUUAGUUGUUACAUGCAACUAGAGAAAAUGAAAGAACGCAAAUGUGAAUUGUACAAUUUUUAUGAAGAAUUUAUGAUUUUUAAUAAGUUGUUGGGGGAAACAUUUCUACUUAAACACCUUACUUCGAACCCUUUUCAUCCGCUUUCUAUUAAACUAACCAAAUCAAAGUAUGAAACAGAAAGAACCAAACAAAAACAAAAUAAGAAAGAUAAAUUCCUCAAUGUUUGCUCAAGUAUUCAUUCAUUUGCAUUGGUUUAUUUCCUAAAUAGGCUAAACUUACGUGACACGUGUCAUAAUCUAAAUCAUUAUACUCCAAUAUUCGUUACCAAUCUUUUGAGCAAUCCAAACAUGAAAGAGGAGAGGAAAAGAACUAGGAUAUUAACCAAAUCCUCUCAAUAAGUAUAUGUUGUCAUGUUAGUAUUCCCUAAACAAAAUAAGUAUGUGUCAUUUUGUUUAUGUGCGUGUUAAAUGUUCAUUUGCAUUUGAAAUGUAUGAUUUUAAUAAAUAUCAUCGAAUCAUGCUUCAAGAUAAUGGAUCAAUAUUUUUGGGUAAAAUUCCUUGGAAGCUGUUGGCUGAUAUUACUUGGAGCAGAAAUCUUGACUAAAGAUCAGACAAGAAAUACCAUGUAAUUGAUAAUUCCAAGUACUAAAUUCAUAGCAAUCAUAUUUGAAUUAUUGUAUUUGGUUUCAUACUUGAUCUAGAUAGUUUGUAUUGCUGUAUAUAUCCUCCAAUUAGAGAAUUAUACAAUGAAGAGGAACUACUCUGAUUUUAACUUUGGUAUUAGAGCAAAACAAUCUUGUUUGCUCUCUUACUGCAACUGCAGAUUUAUAAUUUUAAGCAAACAAUCUGUUUUUGCUUUCGUACCAUGCUGCUGCUGAUUUCUAUCUUCUUCACCAAGGGUACACAAACAUUGGUGAGUGUUACGUCUACCUCUAAACACUUGUUCUGUGCUGCUGACUGCUUACUGCACCAGUAACUCAGCUCCAGUAAUUCCGCUGCAAACAUGUCAGAUAUGACAAGUUUGUAGUCGAGUUUUGGCUACCGCCUCUCUCCCUGAUCUUAACUAAGUAUAUGCAAUGGUCUGUAGGGAGGCUCAACAUCAAGUUACCAUGGCUACUGGUGGUAGCUCUGAGGCAUCUACCUUAGCCAAGAAACAUCUUCACCAAUUGGUUGUUUCAAGCGCUCAACAGUUCUCUUCUGCCCUUUUCAGAAAACCUGCACUUACUGUAAUAAACCAGACGUGAAGAAAAUUGCUGGAAAUUGGUUGUAUAUCCAGAAUGUUUCAAAUUGAAACAGGCUGCCCGCAAGGAUAAGAAAAAAAAUCCUUUGAUUCAACACCAGCCACCACCUCCCAAGUUUCACAUAUUUCUACUACUGCCGGUAAUAUUAGGUCUGCCUUUACUUCUAAAUCUAAUAAGCCCUGGAUCAUUUAUUCAGGAGCCACUGAUCACAUGACUAGUGAACCUUCUAGGUUUGAAUCUUUAACUAAACCUCAUCGAAGUUCGGUUAGAAUCGCCAAUGGUGAUCUUACUCCUGUUGAAGGAGCUGGUUCUCUUUCUUUUACUCCAAUGCUUUCAUUAUCCUCUGUUUUAUAUGUUCUCUCUCUCAAAUAACUUGCUUUCUAGUCGUCAAAUUAUAAAACAAUUAAAGUGUUCUGUAACCUUCUUUGAAACUCAGUGUGCCUUUCAGGCCAUUUUUACGAAGAAAAUGACUGGAAUUGGCAAGGUGAGGGGUGAUGAGUAUUACUUGGAGGAGACUGGUGAAUCUUCAAUUCUUGCUGGCCAUGUAUUCCAGGUAGAUGGUGAUCAUGCAAUGAAAAAGGGAGAAGAUUUUGUUAUGGCAUCAUUGUCUAGGACAUCCGUCUUUUUUGUACUUGGAACGCUUAUUUCCUAGUUUAUUUUCGAAGGCCUUGUUGUCUAGCUUGCAUUGUGAACAUUGCAUUUUAGCUAAAAAUCAUCGUGUUACCUUUCAAUCUUCUUUUAAAUAAAAGUGGGAAGCCUUUUUCAAUAGUUAACACCGAUGUUUGGGGCCCUUUCUCUACUUCUGCUGCUUCUGCUGCUAAGUGGUUUGUUUCAUGUAUUGAUGAUAGCACAAUAGUUUGUUGGAUUUAUCUAAUGAAGUAAAAAAUUGAUGCGGCCUCUAUCAUUCCCAGAUUUUACAAACCGGUUUGCACUCAAUUUAAUGCUUAGAUUCAGGUUUUUCGGUAAGAUAAUGGAAAUAAAUAUCUCAAUAAGCCUCUUACAGAUUUAUCCUUAGAGCAUGGGGUUGUCCACCAAAUGACUUGUCCCUAUACCCCUCAACAAAAUGGUAUAACGGAGCGUAAGAAUCUUCAUCUACUUGAGGUGGCCAGAUCCCUUUGUUUCACUACAAAUGUUCCAAAAAGAUUUUGCGGUGAUGCUGUUAUGACAGUGCCUUUCUUAUAAAAUCGAAUGCCAUCACAUGUCUUAGGCCCUGUUUGGGAUUGAGGUGAUUUUAAAAAAAGCCACUGUGAAAAAAAGCUGAGGGUCAUUUUUGUGUUUGGUAAACUGAAAAAAAAAGGCUUAUUUUGGAAGCUGCUGUGAGAAUAAGCUGAAAAUCAAAGGAAAAGCUGAAGCUGCUAUUUGCUGCUUUGAAAAAAAGCCAGUUUUUUCAAAGCACACGGAGCUACAGUGUUCCUUUAAUGAAAAGACACACUAUCAUCCUGCUUUUUUUUUUUCCAAAAGCACUUUCACAAAAAAGUUUACCAAACACUCUACUGGCUUUAUUUCACAGCCGCUUAUUCUCACAGCACAGCCGCUUAUUCUCACAGCAGUUUUUUUUCAAAACACAGCAAUACCAAACCAGCCCUUAGAGUAUCAAACACCUCUUCAAGUGUUGUCUACCUUUCCCUCUAUCUCUGGCGUUCUUAAUAUAACUCCUGAGGUCUUUGGUUGUAUAUGUUACGCUCACAUAAACUCACUACAUCGGGAUAAGCUGGAUCCAAGGGCACUGAAAUGUGUGUUUUUGGGAUAUUCUUCCACUCAAAAAGGAUACAAGUGCUUCCAUCCUCCCUCGGAGAAAUUUUACAUUUCCAUCGAUGUUGAGUUUCAUGAACAAGACACUAUUUUUCAGGGGGAGCAUCAAAUUCUCCCAUUGGGGGGGAAUCCAGGUUGUGAAGGUGAGAAUUUGGUAGACUUUGAGAUUAACCAUUCAGGGGAAUUGCCCUUGACUGUAGAAGACAUUGAGCCUACCCAAUCCCUUCCUGUUAUUAAGGGUCUGGCUGUCUACAAAACUUACUAGAGAAGGCAGGAGUAGCCUACAACAGUACCAGUUGAGUCUGGAGCAAAUCUCUCUCCCGAAGUCACCCUUCAAUUCCAAAGAUCGGCUUCUCAUGAGAAUGCACUUGCAGCAGUACAAUCUGAGGUACAAUUCCCUUAUUCGUAUCCGUUAUCUACUGAUCCUUUUGAAUCUAACGUUGAUAAUUUAGAACCUCUUUUUAUGGUACCAAUUAGCGAAGGUCAUGAGCAGAGAUAUCCUUCAUGUGUUAAAAAUAAACCGGAUCAUCUUUGUUUAUCUUCUGGUAACUGUGUUGACUAUCCUAUCUCUAAUUAUUUCACCAUCCUAAGAAGAAGAGGACUGUUGGAUGUAGGUGGGUGUUUGUAGUCAAGCACAAACUCAACGGAUCUAUCAAGAGGUGUAAGGCCCGACUUGUAACAAGGGGCUAUCCUCAAACAUAUGGAGUUGAUUACUUGGAUACAUUUGCUCUAAUAGCUAAGAUAAACACUAUUUGUGUCAUCUUAUCUCUUGCCUCAAACUUGGAUUGGCCGCCAUGCCAAUUUGAUGUAAAAAAUGCUUUCCAGAUUGGGUUAAUCUUCAGGUUUUCAGAUACAGUGGCGAGUAGGGGUGGGCGGGGAAGUGGGUGCUCAUGGGUUCAGAGAGCCGACAAGGGGCGGCUGGGGAAGUGCAUGCUAAUGGUUCAGGGGUGGCUCAACGGGACCGGGAAAUCUGGAGAGGGGAGAGGGGGUUAGCAGAGGGGGGAUGGGGCAUGUAACAUCAGGGCUAGGUUACCAAGAUGGUGUUUUGGGUGGGUUUGGCAGUGGGUCAUAUAGGGGAGGGUGGUGAUGCACUCCGAACUCACGAAGGUGCACAAAAUUACGAGUGCAUCACCAUCAAAAAAAUUCAUAUUUAUUUGUUAUAUCCUUCACAGUAAAUAAUUUACAUGUGAAAGAAAUCUAGGUAAAAACAUGAUAUCUUUAUAGACAUUGAAAUCAAGACAGCCACAAAUUGUCAUACACUCCAUGAGUAUCCCACAUCAGAGAGUUUUUUGAAACUUAGAAGACACCGUAAACACGAUUCGCAUAGCAGACUAGCUUAUAGAUGAUAUAAUAUUCAGAUAACAAAGUUCUCAACUGAGGGUUCAGAGAGACUCAUUCUGCAGAGAACGAAGUUACUGCAACGGCUCAGAAACCGUGAAUUUUGAUAUUAUCUUUCUUCACAAUCCCAGCCUGUAGAAAACAAAAAUGUGCAUCAGGUCCAGACUCCUCCAAAUUGUGCAUUAUAAGACCCUCUAAUGGAAUCAUCAAGGCAGCAACUUUGACAAUUUUAAAAUACGACAAACAGAACAUUUAACAUCAUCAAACCAUUAUGUGGUGGAGUGCGUAAAUACCUGGACUAGAAACGAAGAUACAUUCUUACGCUGAUCACCUUGAAGUUGAAUGACCUGCAGACCAACAGCAAGAUGACAUUUAGGGGGUGUGUAUUGGAAACUAAAUUAUAGAUUUUACCGUUAAGCACGCACCUGCCCUAGUUCUGGGUCCUGGACAACAGUACCAUUGCAGCAAAACUCCUUCUUAAGGUCUUUGAGUAUCUUGUUGUAACUGAACUCUUUCUUCAGUCCCUGCACAGUAGUCAGGCUUUUCCUGCCAUUGCGUUGCUGUACACGGAUGUGCACAUACUCUUUUGUCCCAGCACCAGAGUCCUCAGCAGUUGCCUCGGCAAAGGGAUCUGAACCCAAGAAAUAGAAAUUCCAUUAGAUAAAUGGAGGGACGCAUAAGAAAGGAUGAGAGACAAACAAGGUAACAAUAAAUGCUCAUAUCUCAUGAAAAAUAUAAAGCACUAAUCUAGUAUCCAAAUAGUGAAAACGUCAUCUACGUGAGAUUUUUUCCAUGGCCACUACCAAAUUUUCUACACGCUCGUUUCGCACUCUGAAGGCUCAUUGAAUCAGAAUUUUUUCGUUUCCAACUAUGAACGUGCACGGAAAUCAUCAACAAUCAAGAGAACUGUGAGAGAAAAAUAAAGGGGGUAGCCUUCUAUGAGAGUAUAACUCCUUAAAAAUAGAUUGAUUCGUAUCAUUGUUCUCUCACGUACCAAGCCGUGAAAUUGUUUAGUUUUUGGGCAUAAUUCAGAUUCAUAAAAGGGUAUGCUCUCUCACUUGAUGUAUAAUGAUAAGGCAAGUGUCAUCCAACUAGAGUCACAUGAUCACAUCUAUAUACCUUGAAGUAAAAGUCCAAUAAAUUAAAAUGGAGUAGCCUACCAUCACUUUUCAUAAGUUCUAGGAAAAGCGAUGUAUCCAAGUGAAUGUGGGAUUUGAUGCACUCGUCUCUGCUGUGAUUAAAACAUAUAAAAAUGAAAAUGACAGACUAACAGAGAAGAGGCUAAGAAGCAACAGUAAACAAUAACUUCUAUGCCUACAGUUCAAAUCCCCACACUCACAACCUUAUAUUUUCACCAGUAGAUAUGCAUAUUGCUCCAGGUCGUUAAAUCAGAUCUUAUAGAUCAUGUUCCUAACACCUGAACUAACGACUUCAGAUUCAUAUGAAUUAUAGCCAAGCCAAACCUAACCAAAACAUUUAGGUUGUCAAUAACGCCCAGAUAAGCAGUUUAGCUUGGUGAGUAGAUCAGGUUGGUCAGGUUGCUGAAGAAACAACUACACACCAAUUCUCAAACUGCACAACUACUAAAUUACAACAGUACUGUAUCGAUGACUGAAAAUGAUCUCUCGAGCAUCUAGGUACCCAGGUUUUCAAUUAAAAAACUUAUCCAAUUGAAUUCAAUUAAAAAUAUGAUCUCUCGGGCAUCUAGGUACACAUGCAUGCAUUCAAGCGCACAAACACACUCAAAUGAGUUAUGAAUUAACAGAAAACAUACCAAAGGCAGUGGGAAGCUGUACGUCGAUGUCAGACAUGAAACUUAGCUGAUUCAACUAAGCGGGCCUGCUAAACAGAAUGCUCAGACCUGGAUCAUAUUUAAAAAAAAAACCGAUAAAUCAUCAUGACCUCAAUAAAAUAUAAUCAAGAUAAGAACAACAUAACAGGCACAGAUCACAUAAUCCAAAAGAAGUUUCGCAACUCAUCCACAAUCAUCAACUGUGUAACCAUAAGGGGGUUAAACAAAAUUUAUAUCAAAUCAAUUGCAAUCUCGCCCUAGGAAAAAAUAAAAAUUGACACCCAAAAACAAAACGAGGGUACUAAAAAAGCACCAAACUUUUCGGCUUCAUCUAAUCAAAUAUGAUAAUAAUAUAUUUUUCGAGUAAUUUACUGGAAAAAUAAAAGAUCAGAACACCAAAAAGAACUUAAUUUACAUUUGUUUUUCCAGAUCAGGGAGUGAAAAUUUAAAAAUGCAUCUUGUAAACAAUAAAAAUUAGUUCUACACUCUCAGAAUAUUAUCAAUUUAAAAACAAACCAAGCAAAGAUCUCGAAUUUAUACAAAACCCCUAAAAUUCAGACCAGAAAUUAAACCAUCAAAACCCUAAAACAGAGACGAACAGAAUCGAGGGGAAUCGAAGGGCGAAUUACCUGAUCCGAUAAUUAGGGUUUUGGAAUUGGCAAGUCGGAUCGAGAAAAAACCCUAACCCCAAAUAUCAGAUAAGCCUGAGCGAGCUCUCCCGACCUCUCUCUCGCGUUUACAAGAUAUAACUCUGUUUGGGAAAACGGAAAAAGUGAAUGGAAAAUUGGGGAUUACAGAGAGAUAUAAAUUAAUUAAUUAAUUAUUAAAAUUAAAUUUAAAAUUAUGUGAAAGGUAGGACAGUGGGCUUUGGUUGAGUUUCACGCGCACAAGUUUUGAUUAGAUGGUAUACGUACUAUACGAGCUGGAUGUGGGCACCGGUUUCGGGGUUUGUUAGUUUGAGUGACAGCUGUCGGUUAAUGGGAGCGAGUAGAGGUAAAUAAGAACAGCUACGUAUCACUUUUGGACUAGGAUUGUCUGCCCUCCCAUUUCGGUGCCUUUCUCGUGCCCUCCUGUUUGUGUGGUCACAGUUAAGCCACGUCAAUAUUUUAUAUUAUUAUUUCUUUUUGUUUUAUUAUUUUUAUAAAAAAAACAAUAUAAAAUGUUGACGUGGCUUAACCGUGACCACACAAAAUAAAAGGGGACGGAAGGGCACCCGAAAUGGGAGGGCAGACAAUCCAGGUCCAUCACUUUUUGGGUUGGUAAGUCUGUCUACUGACCUUGUCUGCUCUGGAAUUAAAAACGUUUUAUGAUGGUAAUUGACGUCAGCUUGAAGGGCAUCUUGACAUCUUUCUUAUGGCUGGUUUGAUAUUGUUAAGCUUUGAAAAAAAAAAAUGUUUUUACUGUGCUGUGAGAAUAAGCAGCAGAAUGUUUGGUAAAUUUUUUUGUAAAAAUGCUUUUAGAAGAAAAAAAACAGUAUUAUAGUGUUUAGUAAAUUUUUAUGUAAAACAGCUGUGACUGUGAAAUGACCAAAAAUGGUAUAAUACUAUAUGUGCCAUUAAUUUAAUUUUUUUAACAAAUAAAGGUGAAUUACUAAAUAUAUUUUAUUUUUAAAAGAAAAAUAUUUGUAAACUUUAUUUUAAAUAUAUAAUUCAACGUUUAAUAAAAAAUCAUAAUUCAACAUUCAACGUGUAAUCCAACAUUUAUAAUAUCUAUUUACUAUACAACUAUUACUCUUUAUCAUAAACAUCCCCAACACUAAUGGUUAUUUAAAAAAAAAUUAAACUAAUUUAUUAUUUAAAAUCUCUAUCUUUUUAUAUUUUAUUAUCAUAAUUAAAAUCAGUCCACAUUUUUCUAGAAGCAUCUCUCCAACCCACUUUCUCUCACAUUGCUCUCUUUUCUUUCCCGUUCUCAUCCUUUCCGCAGCUCCAACCCAUUUCACAUUUUCUUUCUAAUCUUCCUCUCUCCAUGCGAUAUUUUUCAUUGGCGGGUUAGAUCGCAGGUUCAAAAACCAGGUCAAUAAUGGAGGAGGGGCUGGGAUAGCUUUGCUUGGUCCAAAAGCUCAAGGUCCGCCGCUCCAAGGUCUUGAAGUACGGCCUCACGAUCUUGAACGACCUCAAGUCUCGGCAUGGAAGGUGAAUGUUUGAGCUUCGGAUAGUUGGUAAUUCCAUCUGGGAUUUUGUUAGUUCAAUUGGGUUGUGGGGAUAUUACCAUCGGAGGUAGACUGGAUAUUACCAUCUAGAGAGGCAUCUGGUGCCGCCGUGGACAGAGAAGGUUGGUGCAAUCGUGCCCGCUGCAUCAUCACCUCGACUCUGACGGAUUCCGAAACAGCUCAUUGAAAAAAAAUGGAAGAUGAUAAAAGCAUCUUGUGUGAUUGUAAAUUCUUUAAUUGCUUAAGGUCAUUUUGGGUACAUGAAAGUUUCUUUAAGCGCUCAGCACCUCUUAGAAAAGAGGUUUGGGUAGAAGCUGAAAAGCCGAUUUUUCAAAGUUGUUUUUUGCUGCUUUUGUUUUUUAGCUUUUUUUUCACCUAAAUAUGUGGAAAAAAAAUUGAAGUUGAAAGUUUAUCACAAAAAAGCUCCAGCAUUUUUUUAUACUUAUUUUUUUUAAAACCACUUCAAUACUAAACCAGGCCUUAAAAUCUCACCCUUACUUCUUAAGUCUUACUAGAGUAUUUUUCUUCAGUUGUUAAUAAGAUAUUUUAAGUUUGAAUUUUGUAAGAAAAGUUCGAUGCGAGUUCGAAAUUUUUUUCCUAAUUAAAUUUUACCAAUAUUGUAUUUAAAUUGGAGGAGUCGGAUACUAAAAUUUUUGUUUUAACUUGUUUUUUUUUUUUUUUUGGAGAACUGAUACUUCAAUAUCAGGGCAAAGAUGCCAAUAGGAUAUAAAGAAAGACUACAAGGAGGCAAUCGACCAAAUCAAAGCAAAAACACACAAAGUAGUGUAUGGAGAUACAAGAAACCUUCACGCUGCAUCUGAUGCUAACAAAAUAUCACCCCUCACACUACCAAGAAAAGACCUAAGGAAGGCAGGGAAUCCCAUCAUAACAAAAGACAUGUACAAGUGGCCCAAAACAGAAAUUGGAACCCCUAACAGAAAACGCAAAAUACAAAGAAACCUAGCAACUUCUUCAAUCUUUCUGCAUGCAUCGCCUCCAGCACUCCAAGCACCAAAGAGGAGACCGAAGUCUCGACAGGUAAAGAAGAGACUGAAGCCUCAACAUGAGAUCUGUAAAAGAUGGUAUUGUAGCCAGUGGCGAAGCCACGUGAGGGCGAGGAGUGGCGGCCGCCACUCCCCUCGCCGGAAAUGAAGCCCAGGAGCGAGUACUCGCCCCUCCUCUCGUCGGAAAUGAAGCCAUGUUUUUUGCUGCAGCUGCAUAAACGCUGCGCGUGCAGCGGCGAAGCUGUUAAGGCCCGGGAGGGGUCCGCCCCUCCUCUCACAGGAAAACAUGCCCAGAAAUCAUGGUUUGCUGCCCCAUAGCACCUCUGGUUUCGCCGGAUUGCAGCUCACAAUUGCUACAACUGCGGCAGUUCUUCAUGGCUGCGCAGGGAAG
rnacentral:lncRNA from 1 species